rnacentral:lncRNA from 1 species
GGCAUUUUGUUCCUUGAGCACAACUAUAAGCAAUAAUAAGUACAAGACUUAAUGUCCUAGUUUCAUGCACUCACAUAUGAUUUGUUCUACCACAUCUCAUCUAAGUAGCCUUCAUAUAAUAAAUUACUUAACACGUCUUGGUUAUGACUUACUUUUUAUUCAUGCCAAAUUACUUAUUACAUCUCAAUUGCAAAUGACAAUCUUUUAUUCAUACGAAACCAGGUGAAAACAAUUCAUCCAAAAAGUCUCGACGUGAUGAAUUACUUUACUUGUUACGUUUUAAAUACAACUUACUUUUUAUCUAGAUCGCGUGUCGCAUUGUUCACAAUAAAAAGUAACAAUCAAUCAACGAAAAUCAUCUUCUUAUUAAAAAGAAGUCCAAGCUCAGAGCAAUGAUACGCAAUAUUUAGGUAAACAAUAUUCCCCCAUGAGAGGUUUGCCUAAACGCCAAAAGGACCCAAAUUUUGCCACCUUUAUUUUUGCGUCUAACACCUAAAUUAUUAGUCUACCUUAUCCCUUGGAAAUUAAGCAUAAACAAAAUGGGAAAAAUACAAAAGCCCCAUGAGUAGGUGGUUUCAUGCUAAAAUCUAGUGUAUGUCUUGUGCCGUUUGAAAUAUUAUCCGCCUCCAACUUUACCUUCCCCUACAUCAAUAAUGUAACCUUCUAAUUUGUAAACAAAAAGUUGUGGCCCCCUACCUAACUGUUGUUGGAGGCAUUUUUGCUCGACACCCUCAAAAUAUACAUAUCUCGAAAUUCAAACUCAUCUAGAGGUGAAAAAUAAAGUGUGAACAUCAUCAUCGCUUAAGAGUGGUGAGCACUGUCACUUAGUACUAUGAUCUAGUGGUAUUCAUCUCCACUACACAGAUCUUGAAAUUCAAACUCAUAUAAAGGUAAUAAAUAAAGUGUGAACAUCAUCAUCGCUUAUGAGUGGUAAGCAAUGUCACUUAGUAAUAUGAUCUAGUGGUAUUCCUUUUCACUUGUAGUAAGAAGUCUUAGGUUCGAUUCUCACCCAGGCUAAUUUGAACCACAUUAUUGCUACAAAUUGUGGUGUUUUAGCCCACUCCCCCACCUGUUAGUGUAGAUAAUAUCAUUUGUUAAAAAAAAAUGGUGAGCAAUAAUUAUCCCCAUUACUACUAUUAGCUUAUUCAAUAUGGUUGUAUGGUAGGUUUGGUUAAAUUUCUAAUCCGUGUUCUUUAUCAAAUACCAUGUUAGAAUAUAAACAUCUAAUUUUAAAAGUUAAUAAUGAAUCAAUUUUACGGGGGUGUGAAAAAUUGUCUCAUCUUAUAAAGGUAUGAAACCUUAAAAAAAUGAAAAGAAACUUAUAAGAAAUCGCACUAUUUAUAUAUUAUCAAUCCGUUUUUAGAUUACGACAUCAAGAUACUUUCAGAUUUAAGACGUUUGUUAGUUUAACUGUUAUUAUAUUUUGGUUUGGAACAAGUCCGCAAAAGUCAUUUGUGAAGCUUUCCAGUUCAAGUUUGUGCAUUAUAUUUAUUUUUCUAACACCCACGAUCAUAAGAGUUCCAAUCUUGCUAUCUUCAUUUUAGAUUAAGAAAAUUGCUUCCAUUAUCUUAUAAAAAAAUAAUAAUAAAUUAAGAUGGGUAGUGUUAUUAUAUUUAUAUGGGUAGGCUGGAGAGCGGUGCGAUGCGCCACAUUAUCCACACUAAUAUGUCACAUUUCAUGCUAUAAAUUGUUCUAGAUGAUAUUAUUCUCCUUGUAUAUGUAAAGAUUUACUUCUUUUCACACGACAACGUGUCAUUACUUAUACAUGUAAACGUUGGUAUUCAAAUGUUUAUUUCUUUAUCAUCAAUUUUAAAUAUUAUAUUUUAAAAAUUAUUUAAUUAAAGUCUUUUCUAAUGUAUCAAACAAAUUAACAAUUAUACUAACAAGUAAUAUUGUUACCGUCGCCUGUCAAGCUGUUUGAUACAUAUAAAUUACUAUCAAUCUGUGAAUAAAGUAAUAUUUUUCAUCAAAAUAUUACUGUUUGAUACGUGGGACGAGAUGGAACGGAGUGGGAUGAGGCGUUCCAUCCCACGUUUGUGCGCCUAAAACUAGUGGAACGCACUGUACGAAUUUUGGGUGAAUUUUCGUUCCGCCUCACCCCCAGGAACGACUCGCUCCACAUCCGUGGAACAUAAAAUUAUAACCUCUCCGUCUCCUUCUUCUUCCUCUUUGUUUCCAUCCGAAUGCAUCUUUACUCCCUCUCCAUUCCGUCUCGCCCUGUCUCGUCCCGUCCCAUUCCAUUCCGUUCCAUCUGCAUAUCAAACGAUACCUUAAGGAAUGUGACAUCGUCGUACGAGAAGUAAAAUAACCUCCCUUGUCAAAACAACAUGGUAUGGUUCUAAACCCUGGAUAAGGAUUGUCUGCCCUUCCACUUCCAGUGCCUUCCCGUGCCCUCCUAUUUGUGUGGUAACGGUUAAGCGACGUCAACAUUUUAUGUUACUAUUCAUUUUUGUCUUAUUAUUUUUAUAAAAAAAUAAUAUAAAAUGUUGACGUAACUUAACAAUAACCACAUAAAACAAGAGGGCACCGGAAGUAGAGGGCAGACAACUCUUGUCCCUAGACCCUCAUGGGUUACAUCAUCAAAGAGGGAUUUCACUCAAGGUGGGUCCCUCUUAUUCUUAACUGAAUCCGGCUAAAGUAAGCCAAGCUAAAGAAUUCUAGUAGAAUUGUAGGGGGAAUAUUCCUUUAUGCUUCACAAUUUGUAUAAAAAAAAGGGAAAAGGAUAUGGCGGAAAUCUUAGGGAUUCCGUGAUCGUAAUCGUAAUCGUAAUCGUUCAUCGUAUAUCGUGCGGUCAGUUUUUGUUAGGUACUAUUUAUAUUUAAUUUUAAAAUUUAGACCGCACGAUCACGAGAUCGUAGGAUCCUAGGAAAUGGAUCCGGCAAUGAUCAUUUUCCAAAAAAAGGGCUUAAAUGUUAAAAUGAUUAGUCCUUAUAUUUAUCUUCGUUAGUCAGCUAAGGACUUUUUCAUCUAAUUUUUUUAUUUUUUAUCAAUUAUUAUAAAUUAAAAGAAAAAUUAUUCUUCUGCCAACUCUUCGACCUCCUUCCUAACAUUACUCCUUAUCUUUUUUAUGUCACAACCUUAAUCAUUUUUCAGAUUCAAAGUUUUAUUUCUUAUAUGUGUUGUUUCUCAUUGAUUUGCAUUUUUAUGUAAAGAUAAAUGAUAAUUAUUUAUCAUAUGAUUUUUCUUAUGAAUUUUUUAAAAUAAAUUGAAUAAAAUGUCCUUAAUUGGAUAGCAGAGACAAACACAAACUAAAAUGGCCAUAUAACUAUAACAUAUGGACCAUUUUGAUAUUUAAGCAAAAAAAAAAACAAUUAAAAGAAAAAAACAACUUAUAGGGUUAAUAUUCAACGGACAAGGAUUGUCUGCCCUCCACUUCCGGUGCCCUCCCGUGCCCUCAUGUUUUGUGUGAUCACGGUUAAGCCACGUCAACAUUUUAUAUUGUUUUUUUAUAGAUAUAAUAAGACAAAAAAUAAAUAGUAAUAUAAAAUAUUGACGUGGUUUAACCGUGACCACAUAAAUAGAAGGGCACGGAGAGGGCACUGGAAGUGGAGGGCAGACAAUCCUUGUCCAUAUUCAACAUGUGUAGUGUGUGGACUAUAUCUAAAUAGAGUCAAUAGACCAGUCAUUUUACUACAUAUAGUCCUUUGGUAGGAUAAAUUUGACCCCCGGAUUGGUACAUAAAGUCUACCAAAAUAAUUUAGUAGUGUAUGAUUUAGAAUUUGACUGGAAAUAGUAUGCCUAUCCUCAAUUAUACAAGGCUAAGAAAAGAAGAAAUGUGCAACGUCAACUACAUCAUGACUCAUGAAGGUGGGAUUAAGAUAUGAAUUUCAUUUUCAUUACUCAUACUCUACCUUGUCUUUAUUGACAAGUUAUUGUUGUUAAUCAUUAUUGUAUUUUCUGGAAAAAUUCUUCCACUUCUUCUUGAGAAUAUGAGAAGGAAAAAUGAAUGGAUGAUCGCCGAUACAUGUAUAAUUGCUCUUUAAACGUCUGAUUGCAAAAAUUUUAAGUUAUUCGAUUUUAAAUUUGUUUAAAUUUCAUUAAACCCGACUAAAGUCAAUGAUUCAAAAAAUUGAUUUCCUUGCUUUUGAAAAUUGUGCGUUUGUAAAACAAAUGAGGUGGUUCAGUAGAUCUUGUGCGUUUGUAAAACAAAUGAGGUGGUUCAGUAGAUCAUACGGUGUUUGUAACGUCUUGACAAUGAAGGGAGCAAAAGUUUAUCCUUGUAAAAGAUAAGAAAGGAUUGAUUCUUUUUCAGGAUUAGAUUGAAAAUAUGAGUUUAAAUAUUCAAUCAUAUGUAUUUUUGAAAGAGAUGAAAUAUUAUUGGAUAAUAAUAUAAAAUAUUCGCUACAAUUAGUUACUGGAACUUCCCAUCAAUUCUUUGAUUAAGGAUUAACCAUUGAUUAGAUUAUUAACAAAUAAGAAUACCGAAUAUUUUGAAGGAAUUUACCAUUUUAGUAGAACAAAUCACGCUUUUUGCUAAACUUGGAGGGGUAAAACGCAAGCAAAAAGCUUGAUGUGUAGACCCGGGAGCACCAGAUUCUAACAGGCAAACAUGUAAACUCCCUCUGGCAAUUGCAAAACGUCGUCACUUUACAGCAGGGAGUCCUCAUGGCUGCCCUUGGUAAAGUGAACCCUCACGUUUCUCAGCCACGCCUGCAAAUAAUACAAGGUUUUGCCAGCUGACGGCCAAUCCCAGCAAGCGUUAUGGCGCGUGCAACAAGGAUGAGCGUGGUUCUCUGAUUUCGGCCGAUCAGUUAUCGUUUUCAAGUAAGAAAAAGUGAGCAUUGAUUACGUCACCCGUGGGUGGUGCGUUACGAGAUUUGCAUUUAAUUUAAUUUCUUAAUCACUUCCUAAUCGGAAUUAAGCCCGGGAUAAUUCAAGGCUUCAAAUACGCGUUUAAUACACUUGUUUGCUUUUGUGAAUUGUGACUUUGUGUAAAAGGGAGCCACAAAAAAGUUUCAAAAGAUUCUAUUUGUGCAAUUGCGAAUAAUUUAAGUUUACGGCGUAAAUAAUUUGCUUUUCCAAAUAUGAUUCAAUCCAUAUCAGUUGAGGAUUGAUAUAAAAGCAUUUUCUGCCCACUAUGUUGUUGCUGAGGUUUUAAGUUUGAAUUACAUAACCAGUCAAUUAGACACAUUUGUCUGGUGGUCUAUUAAGUUGUGAUAAAAAUUUGGUACGAUCAUUGCACCACUAUGCAAUGUUAUAAUUUAAGAAAAACUAAUGAAAAUGACUUGAAAAUUUUGAGUUUUAACGAUAAUUACAAAAUAAAAGGUAAAGUGAAUAGUACCAUGAUUGACUUUUUAGUGUAAAAAUAUGGUUUUUCGUUAAAGUGAACAGUAUAUGAGUUUUUCAUUAAAGUUAUCUCUUGUGUUAUAAAUCAUACUUUAUUUAUUUAUUAACACGAUAAUACCUAAAAUACAAUGACAACUGAUAAUACUAUGUGACGGUCGUCUCUACAUAAAUUUCUAAUUGGCUAUUGUUGUCAAAAGGGCGUAACUAUUCAUUUUGUGCAUUCAUAAUCAUUUUAGAGCAAGCUCAACUGCUUUUCGCCAAAACGAUUUUGAACCACAUUAUUACUAGUUUAUUUUGAGGCUUAAACUAUUUUCUCGCGCCCUUAGCAUAUAUAAAGUCGUUUGUUUAAAAAAUGGAAAUAGUCAAGGGCUAUGGGAUUGGACAUUCAAUAUGAUUUUCAUAGGACUACUGUGAGUUUGGGUGCAGCAGAUCCCACAAAGAGCUUCCUACUUAUCGACAAGAGAUUUUUCAGAGUGAUUAGCACACGAAAUGAUACAUCACGUGUCACUAUAUAAUGAUGGGAUAUGUGUAUUAAAAAAUUAAUAACUUAAAAAAUAAAAUUUUUCACUACUUAAAUAAAAACACAAAAUUUACAAUUUGUGUCCUCGUCAUAAUUAAAAAAAUUUCCUCAUCGACCCCAACCAAAGCCAAUCAGUUUACUAGCUGUCAACCCAUCUGGACUAGUACACAGUUUCAUUUCCAGCUUGGCCUUUUCCCCACAAUUCCCUCCCUCUUUCCCUCCUCCCCAUAAAAAAGUUCACAAUUUUAUUAUUACCUAACAUUUUUAAUCCAAAUAAUCAACCCAAAACCCCCUUUUAGUACAUUUACCAAACAAAUUAAACUAAAUUAAUGUUUAAAAAAUAGAGGAAAUAUAAAAAAAUUAAAAUUAAAAAAGAAAAAGCAAACAGCUGGAAUAUUGAGGAGAGGAGAGCAGACCAGGUGUGGAGUAACUAUAAGAGCAUCCACUCACCAUUCGUCAGCCCCUCUUUUUCUCUCUCCUCUCUUCCCCCGCCCCCAAAAGGAGAAGAAGAAGAGUGAAAUUCUAAACCACCACCACCCACCAAAAAACCCCCCCACAAUACUCUCUCACUCACUCCACUCAUCAGCCGCUAUGGACCCACCACCAGCGGCGCCCCCGCUGCAAUCCCACAACCUCAACUACGCCGACUCCCUCGACUCUUCCCCUCGCUCCCGCAACACCGACUCAUGGGACGAGCCUCAACCCCCCACCACCAGGCUCCGCCUUAUGUGCAGCUACGGCGGCCACAUCGUCCCCCGCCCCCACGACAAGUCGCUAUGCUACGUCGGAGGCGACACCCGAAUCGUCGUCGUCGACCGCCAGACCUCCCUCUCCGACCUCUCCAACCGCCUCUCCAAGACCCUCCUCAACGGCCGACCCUUCACCCUCAAGUACCAGCUCCCCAGCGAGGACCUCGACUCCUUAAUCUCCCUCACCACCGACGAGGACCUCGACAACAUGAUCGACGAGUACGACCGCACGGCCAACCACAGCGGCGCUUCGUCCAAACCCUCGCGCCUCCGUCUCUUUCUCUUCCCCCUGAAGCCCGAGUCGUCGCAAUCGAUGGGGCCUAUUCUCGAUAUUUCAGCCAAUAAGUCCGAGGACUGGUUCUUGAACGCGCUCAAUGGCGCGUCCGGUAUGCUCAAUCGGGGCUUCUCCGACUCCGCCUCCGUUAACUGCUUGCUGGGUCUCGACGACGAUUCGAUUUCCGGCGGUGCUGCCAAUAAUUUGGAAUCCGGUUCGAGAGACGUGGAGGCUUCGGUUCCUGCGAAUGGCAAGAAUGCCAAACAGGGCGGGGGUGUCGGCGGUGGGAACGGGCAGGACGUUCAAUCUGUCCCCGAUUCGCCGAUGCUUGAGAACUCCUCGUCGUUUGGGUCCACGUCAUCGUCGCCAUCGCUUGCGAACUUGCCACCGAUUCGGGUCCACGUGGAAGAUGGCGGCGGCGGUGGAGGUGGAGGCGGGAUUGGAGUGCAGGAUCAGAAGAUGGGGAUUGAAGAGCAGUUCGCUCAGAUGACUGUUGGUGGUGGUGUUGGGCAGAAGCAAGACGACGGUGCCUUCGCGGUCCUUUCAUCACCUCCUCCGAUGCCCACUACCAUCGUGGCAUCCGCCGCGCCGCUGAGCACGGCCACCAAUUACUUGAAUCGCGUAGUUUCGGACGAUGAGCGAUCCGAUCACGGCGCCCCAGCUGGGCAUCGGAAACCAGCGCCACCGCAGCCUCAGCUUCAGCCACUGACUCUGCCUCCUCAGUCUCAGCAGCCCAAAUCUAGUGGCGUUCUUGAUUUGCCCUCCCCAGAUUCAGUUUCAAGGUAUGCCUAAUUGUUCUCAAUAAUUAGCCUGAUUAAUCAUUUAGAACUUCUGUUUUUAGUAAUCUGCUUGUUUAAAUUGCUCUUAAGUUGUUGUUUGGGGUGAUGAUCAAGUGAUUAAUUGGGGGUUAUAAUUUCAAUUCUGCAGUGACAAUAGUUUAUCAAAUGCCAUGUCUCGCCCAAAACCUGUAAUUUAUCAAGACCCAGUAGUUCAAAUCCCCUCUGCAAACGCCAGGUUUCCAGCAAACCUCGUUGAUCCGAAAUUAAAUCUUUCCGAUCCAACCACUCGGAUUCAGAUGCAACAACAGGUUCACGAUUCUGGGUACGUUUUGCAAUCGCAAUUCGAUCAUCAACAGCAGCAGCUGCAGCAACACCACCAACAACAAGCACAACAACAACACCACCAACAAGAAGCACAACAGCAAUACCACCAACAACAAGCACAACAGCAACACCACCAACAACAAGCACAACAGCAACACCAACAACAACAAGCACAACAGCAACACCAACAACAACAAGCACAGCAGGCACAUCAAUUUAUACACGCUGGAACACAUUACAUCCAGCACCACCCAGGUUCGGUCCCCAUUCCGGCGUACUACCCGGUGUAUCCGCCCCAGCAGCAACAGCAACACCAUCAUCAUCCCCAGCUUGAUCAGCAGCAGCAGCAGCAAUACCAAGUUUAUUACAUGCCUGCCAGGCAACCACAACCUUACGCCACUUUGCCAGUUCAGCAAUCGAAUAUCAGUGAUUCUGCCACUCCUAUUCCUUCAAGCCACUCCCAAACGCCUCCUAAUCCUGCCAUUUCCUCCUCAUCCACGGCUUACAGCCAAAUGAGGAAUGCCCAAAUUGUCAAACCCGAAAUGGCUGCCCCAGCAGGGGUGUACAGAACGGCAACCACAGCAGCUCCACCUCUAGUUCAAGUCCCCUCUGCUCAGCAUCAGCAGCAAUAUGUCGGCUACCCCACCCAAAUUCACCAUCCGUCCCAAUCGGCCGUUCCUUCUUCUGGGGGUAAUGCCAGUUAUGCCUAUGAAUAUGCUACUGAUCCCUCUCAUGCGCAGAUGUACUACACACAACCUCUGGCGCCCUCAAUGCCUUCUCAGUACCAAACUAUGACAUCUGCGGCCGCCAGGGUGCUGCCAGAAAUCUCUGCUCAGCUUCCCACCGACAACAUCAAGCAGCAGAGAUGAGGGAAGUGAACAAUGCCUGGAGAAGGAAACAAUUUUGGGGAAGUGGGAGGCUUUGGUUUUUAUGUUUAAAGUUUAUAUAUCUGUUUCUAGAGUCUUUGGCUUUGGUGUUGGUAUAGUUGUUUGUGGUGUGUAUUUGUGAUAGAUAAUAAGGAAACUUUGGUGGUCUUCGUCGUCGUCUUCUUCGUCUUUCUUGUAAGGUCAUAUGGUUGCUGCUCCAUUGCCGCCGCCGUCGUCUUCAUACAAGAGAAGUGGAUAUGAAUAUGAAAAGGUGGUCUCUGGGAUUAUAGUUAUAUACUGUAAAAGCUGGAAAACUCAACCAAACAUAAUAAUGUGCUUGUGCAGAUCGGUUUCUGAAUAAAUGUUUUAUAAGUAACAAAUAGAUCUCUGUUAAUGUUGUGUUGCUUAGUAAAUAUUUGAUUAGCAUGACAUACAUGUUUCGUCACUCAAUUGCAAAUUUCUCAGCAGAAGCAAGCCACUGCAAUUCGCAGUUUUGUGAUGAGAGGGAGAGGGGAAGCACAAGCAGAAGCAGUCACUUUGGUCCGUUUGCUGAUUGUAUUUGUAGGGAACAUUUCUGCUUAUAAGUGCUUUUGUUACAAGUAAUUUGAUGGUUACUGUUAGCAUGAAUUCAGCUGCGACUUCUUCCUCGAGUCCUGUCAUGAUUGCGACUUGAUGAAAGAGCUUUACAAGCGCAUUGCCCUUCGCUCACGGAUUGUCAAGAUUCCCCAUUACUAGCCCCCGAGUCCGGGUCGUGUCUCAGUCCAAGUGCUACUAAUUUUCCUCCACAAACUAAAGUCGCUUUUAAGUGUUAUUUUCUUGUCAAACAUAUUUAUAAACGUUUUUUUUAUUGUUAAAAAGCACUUUACAAGUUCAAAGGAAGCCCUUAGUGAUACAUUUCCCACCACUCCAUUUCAAAACAAGCCUUAGCUAUUUUAUAGAUCAAUGAAUGUUAAUUUGGACAUAUCCCCACCAAUUGGUGUAGAAUUUGGCUUUAAAGUUAAUGGAAUCUGGUGGGAUGAGGGCACAAAUCUUAUGUGGAAUUGUGUAACAUCAAUCGACAAUGACAUUUGAUGUUGUCAAAUUUUGAAAACUUUGGCUCCCAAAACAAACAAACAAAAAAUAAAAUCAUGUCGACCAAAAGAACAAAACAUAAAAUCCACCACAAUCAUCUAACCUCAUCGGAUCGAAAUUGACCCCUAGCAAAAAGUGCACGAUAUUCGGCAGAUCACAGUUACACAGUGUGUUUUAGAUUCUUCUUGUUUUUAUUUAGUCGAGUAAUUAAUGUGUUAAUUAGUAAUUAAACGGCCGGCAUUAGUACAAGGUUUGUGGUUUGAUUUUGGGAUGGGAGAGCGAUUUCUGAGUUACUUGUACUAUUGUGAUAAUAAUUUAAGUUGACACUGUGCGAAAGUUGUUGUUUUCACUCCAGUCUUAGUGAAGACAAGUAGCUCAAUACUUUUAGUAGUAGUUUGUGACUGCUAAAAUAACGGACAGAAGCAGAUGUGAGUUAGGUGAGUUAGUUUGAGAUAAGAGAUUAUGUCCAGCCAUCCUUGUAUUCGAAUUUUCUCUACCAGUAGUUGAGAUUGGAAUAGCGCAUUUUGCGACGAAUAUCAAGCAAGUCCAUAUAGAAAGAGGGAGGGACCAUUUGACGCUCUCAAUAUUCAAUGUUCAACAUGAAGAAUAUGUGAAAUAUCGUAUUUUGAUUCCCAGUUUGGCAGACGGGGCAUAAAUAUUUAUUUGUGAAAGAGAAAGAAGGUCUGCCAGAAGAAAUUGGCGCCAUCAAUUCUUCAUCUCAUGUCACAUUCAUAUAUUUGUUUUGGAAUUCGAUUUGGAUUUGAUCCGAUUUGCAAUGGCUCCCACUAGAGGAAGAGAUUUAUUUUAUUUCUACUUAGUAUAAUGCAAAGACAAUAAUGUGGAUUAAGGGGCCCACUAUUUUCAAAAGAAAUGCAAUUUAUACCAUGAUUUUGUAUCAUAUUUUCAUAACACCUUAGAUGACAUUUGAAAUUGACAGCCAUAUUAUUUGAAUUAAUCAUAUUUUUAAAUUUAAUUCAUUAUUUAAUAAACUAAUAAUUAAGAAAAAACUAGUUCAUUAAAUUAUGAUUGUGGUAUACGAGGAGUUUUUUCUUUCAUUUCCUUGGGUUCUACAAAUUUUUUAAAUGAUAUGAUUAUCCACAUCAUAUGCCACCUAAGGUGGUAUAUAAAUAUGAUAUAAAAAUAUGGUAUGAAUAACAUUACUCUUUUCAAAAAUGUUGUUAGAUCAACUCAUUUAAAUUUAGUCGAAAUUAGAGAAAAAUUAACAAAAAAAAUCAAAAGUUUGAAAUUUACAAUGGUUUCGGCAAAUUUUAUGUAGUGAAUCAAAAAAUAUCAUUAAUAUUCAUUUGAUUUUUCUAUAUCCAAUGUUUAAAUACCCACAAAAUUAUCAAUAUUUCCGUUGAAAUGUCCAAAAAUCAAGGAUAAAUAUGGAAAGAGAAACUUAUUCUUGUAUCGGUGAGAUAUAGGAAAAUCAAUAAAUAUCCAGAACUUAUAUCUCGCCGAUACAAGGUGAAGCUUCCAUUUCACCCAUCUUUCAUAUCGAUCCUUAAUUUUUUGGAUAUUUUGAUGAAAAGAUGGACAAUUGAGUAGAUAUUUUAAACAUCCGAGUAUCACUAACCCACCUGUAUUAAACAGUGCUACAACAAAGUUGCGUGUCUAAAUAACAUUUCUCGCUCUUACAUUAGAAUUGGUAAAUUAAUAUUGGCCCUUACAAGAAUGAUUUUACAUCUACAAAAAACGAUAAAUAUGGUCGGUUAAUGUUAACCUCGAAAACUCUCACACAUUGAUCUGCCCCGCAAGAAGCGAGCUGCAAGCUACCGGAAUCUUCAUUCUUGCAGUUUCUCCAUGCCAAACGGUUUACAGCAGAGACAUGGCACAUCAACGGAUCAAGCCGUACGACGAGGGAAGCAACUGCGCCUGCUACUCCAGCAUCAGAUCUUUUAACGGAGAGAUUCCACAAUUCAAUGAGUCCGUUUUCCAUUCCAACUGCGAGGAGCCCAUCGUUGCUCUUGCGAUCAAGACCGAUCCAAGAAAGGGCCAUGACGCUGCUACUGAACUGGGGAAGAGUCGUGAGCAGCUUCACCGAAGACUCAUUUUCCACCGUCCAGAUCUUCACCGUCUUGUCCCUCGAGCCUGUGGCAAAUUCGUAGCCAUGUGGAUUCCAAGAGCAUGCCCAUAUGAUUCUUUUGUGUGCCUCCUGCUUAGCUACGAGCUGGUAACUAAUUUCAUCGGUGCCUAAACAGAGAUAUCAGAAGAACUACGUAUCACGGAAAGUCUUAGCAAUCUUUUGACAGGUGAUCACGUGGUAACAGUGAAAGUACCUAGCUUAAACUAAAGCGUACCUGCUUUAUCGAUUGAAAAUACGGAGAACUGGCGAUCCCUUGAUACCGCCAACAGGAAUUUGUCACCAUGAGAGAAUUCCAAUUGUGUCACGGUCAAAGUAUGAGACUGCAAGCGACCAACUGCUUUCCAUGAACCAAUUUGCCAUAGCCAAAUUUCUGCUACCGCUGCUGAUUGAGCCUGCGACAUAAUCAUUGUUUAGUACAACAAUAACUUAUGAAACAAGUUAUUCUUGUUACGCCUUACUUUCAAAUGAUUUACAAUUCUUUCGGUACUAUCAAUACUGAAGAAAAGUACAGUUUCACUGAUCUAUUUCCUGUAUCUGUAGAUAAGAGCACAUAAGUUAUAUGGGUUUUUUUAUUUCUGGAGAGUAGAUAUACUGGUAAGAGGUCGCACUUGGUGCGAUGGCAAGUGCCUUCGCCCAUGAGCGGUAGGUCUCGGGUUCGAGACUUGGGAGCAGCCUCUCCAUAAAAUGGAGGUAAGGCUAGCCGACAUUCACCUCUCCCAGACCUUGCGUAAAGCGGGAGCCUUGUGCACUGGGUAUGACCUUUUUUUUUUAUUUUUUAUCCACCAGUCUAAGUGCGAUCCAUUCUCUAGAGCAAUGUUUUGCCUAAGAAAUUUUUAAGAUUAUCCAUGUUUCCGUUAUUAUCACAGCAAGUACAAUGACUCCACAUACCUUACAUGAAGAGGCAACAAGCUUCCCGUCAUGAUCACUGCACAAAGCAAACAGUUCAUUCCCAUGACCGUAAAGUUUGUGCGACUCUGGCCAUAGUGUAUGCCAUGCCAGUUGAUCUUCAAUGGGAGGUUCAGUCAACACUACUGGAACUGCAUCAGGAAUGGUUUCAAGUGUGUCGAGGCCAUCAUUCACAUUCUUGUCUGGGGUAUGCUGCUCAGCUGACAAAAAGAAACAAAAUCAAUAAAUAAAGUAAGCCCUUAAAAACUAUUCCUAAUUUACAAAACUUAAUUAAGAAAAAAAAAGAACGAUACUUGCAAGAAAAACCACAUUAAUAUUAGAAAAGAAAGAAAGGUGCGAGGAGAGAGAGUUACCGUGAACAUAAAUAGGUUUCUGUGAUAGCCCAAGAGCAGACAUAUUUGCACCUAAAAUCUGAACACCAACUUGGAGAUCAUCUGCAAAGUUAGACGUUUGUGAAAUGGCAUGACCCAAUGUCUUCAAGAAAGACAAAGGAGCUUCAAACACUCUGGCAACUUUCUCAUCAGCUCCGCUGACAAAUCGAUGGUUCCCUUUUCCUUGGAUGAUGGCCACACAGUUAAUAUCAUGACCAUGAACUUGAGGGCGAGCAAUUUCAUGCCAAGACUCCUCGUCCCUAGGAGACGCCUCAUUUUGCCAAGGAGCAAAAAUUCGAGUUGUCUGAUCAUGACUGACUGACAGCAAGUAUUGACCAGAUCUUCCCCAUGCCAUAUCUGUUAUUGCUGCAAAAUGCCCAGAUGGAACCUUUUGUGGUUGCCAAUUUUCAUAGUCAGUGCCGACAUUUUUCCAAAGAUGGAAAGAUCCACCAUAUCCAUGUGCUAAUAUUGAAUCUCCAUUAGGGCUCCAGUGGCCACCAUAAAACCCUAGAGCACAAUGACUUAAUUCUCCAACAGUAACAACAUUCAUCCAGAUACCAGAUGUCUUUUCAGGUUUCCAAAUCAUCAUUGUCUUGUCCAUAGAUGCAGAUAAGAUGCUUUGGGGUUGACAGUAGGCAAUCCCUUCGGAAGAUGCAUUUGAUGGGGGUUGCCACUCCACUGAAUACACCCAAUCUUCAUGUCCAAUUAGAAGAGAUUCCAACGAUAUCUGAUAUGAUGUUGUGCCGGCUAUAAGUACAGGGCCUUCAAUAUAAGAUGCUAAGCUCACUUUUUUUUUCUGGUAAGCACUCUGGUUGCUGUCCAAAGACUCCUUUAAAGCCAUCUUCCAUAUGCGUAUGCCUCUGUCUUGAGAUGAACUAACAAGUAGAACAUUGCUUGCCUCACCAUUGGUGCACAUAGGUAGUGCGAAAUCCAGACUUCUGAUCCAAUCUGUAUGCCCUUUCAACUCGCACCCUUUAACAAACUACAUGUACAUAUAAAAAGAAUUCAAAACUUAUUUAAGGAACAAAAAUGUCAACAACAAAAAAAAAAAAAAAAUCAGAAGAUUGAUUAAUAUAAUGCUACAUACCUUUCCUCUCCUCUCCCCGCUGUAAAGGUGAAUUUUGUUAUCCAGUCCUCCCAUUGCCAGGACUAAGUGCCCAGUACUUCCAGGCAACUCUGAUAACGAAAGUGCUACCAUGGGUUUUGUACCAACGGAGAGAGAAUCCAGAUGCAACAGUUCACAGUCACCUAGAAAAACUCAGAAAAGUCAUGUUUCCAAUUGAUUUUGAAAUUCUUUCAUUUGAUGUGAAGGGAGAACUUUUGGCUGUAUCAUUCAUUACAAAAACAUAAUAUUUUUGUGCUUUAGAACGUUAAAACUUUUAUAUAAUGGUUGUUUCAAAUCCAUAACAUGAACCUAAGUAGAUCGAUUUAGCGGAAGAGUUGGAAGGAAUGGUGUUGCCACUUCAUGAACUGUCUUGUACCCCUUCUUUGACAUUGUCAGUAGAAUCAAAUGUGUAGAACUAAAGCAAACCAACUUAGAUAUCUAUAAAACUUAUAAAAGUUAACAAUUUGCCUUAGUCCACUGAAUUUUGGGCUCACCUCCACAAGUUGAUGGAAAAACAACCUCCCAUAUAUAAACGGUACCAUCGGAAGACGUAGAGGCAAAGAUUGCCUCAGUUUGAGAAACCAUAAUUCCAGUAAUGCAUGUGACACCCUUCUUGUGCAACUGAGGUAGCUGUUGCACAUACCUCCACUGUAAAGGAAAAGCAAACAGAGUCCAUGAAGAUAACACAUUUCAGCAGAAAACAAUUCUUUCAAAUAUAUUCGCAACUCAGACACAACUAACUGAUUAAGAAGUAAACAGACUUCCGAAAACUGAAAUAAGUAACGAACCCUCCAACUAGCUAAGAGACAUAUGAGAGGGCCUAAAAACUACAACCUUUCACACAGUUUUAGCUAGCUAGAACCCUCCUACUAGCUAGGAAAUAAAUAAGAGGACCUAAAACUACAACUUUUCACACAGUUUUAACUAGCUAUUCGCUACAUUCGUUCGACAAUUCAAUGCAACCUACUGUACUGAUAAGUUUCGAAGGAAACUUUAAGAAAACACCAACAAAAACAAUAAGAAUUGCAAUAACACGAACACACACCGGCAACGACAAGAGUAUACCUUUCCUUCAAGAACAGAGUACUCCCACAAAAUAAUUGCACCAGCAGCAUCUCCGGAGAGCAAAUAAUGCCGGUCCAAGUGUUUAGCUGUGGAAAUCCGGCAAAAUCUAGUCAGAAACCCAAAUAACAACUUAAAAACAGUAAAUUUGAAUUCAGAAAACAAAAUACUCUCUUUUUUCUUCAUUUGUUUCAGAAAAACCCCAAAAAGUACCUCUAUAUGCAAACUUGUUACUUGGGAGCCACUGGGUGCAAUUCACAGCAGCCUUGUGACCCGGAAGAGUAGUCCAAAUUUGAGCAGUCUGCAGCCAUUUUUGUAAAAAAAUAAAAAAUAAAAUAGUUUGAAUGGAAAACUGGGUUCAUAAGGGGGGUGGGAGAGAGAGAGAGAGAGGACCUUCGGAUUAAAGAUAGCGACGGCGUUUUGGGCACCGAAAGCAACUAAAUCACAAGCACCCCACGAGACGUUGUUGACGAUUCUGUUGCAGCCUGCUCCUAUGAACACUCCCUUGACUCCAACCCCACUCCCUCCUCUGCCACCAUCUCCGCUAGACAUGGUGGAAGAACUUGCUGUGGUUUGGCAGAUAGACGGCGGCUUCAGCUUCAGGUGUUGGAAGCUCUCGUUCCGCUUUUGCUGGUCCGGGAAAAAGUGACGGAAAGGAAGAAAGGAAUGUUUGGGCCGGAGUUAGGAAAAUGGGCCGAGGCCCAAAAUCAAAGACUUACUUCUUGGGCCUAAAAACGAUAUAUUCAAGGCCUGUUACGCUUGGUAAAGUGUACAGGCGAAAUGUUCAACACCACACUUUACCGUCUCAACCGCUUGUACGGAGAAAUGUUCAAACUGAAAUAACCAGAAAAGACCAAACUUCAGAUGGCGGCAAUCCCGUACGACAUUCGCUGCGCGCUUCUCCUGAAUCAUCACGCAUCGUCGUUAUCAUCACCAUCAUCGUCCACGUCAUCGCCGUCGUUAUCCACCAUUCGGUCCCUCAGCCCCACCCUUCUCGGCUCGCGCGCCUCCGCGGCGCGUCGAGUCCUCUCGCUGUCGACCUCGUGCUGGACGACGUCGUUCCGGCUCAGAGCCUUCUCCACCGACCCCGGAGAGGCCGCCGCCGUCAAACUUCCGGAGAAGCCGUCGAUAUGCACGGCCGAUGAGCUCCACUACGUGUCCGUGCCGAACUCCGAUUGGAAGCUCGCGCUAUGGCGAUACCUCCCGUGCCCCAAGGUACUAAAUUUACUUUUCAAAAAGGAAUUUAUUUCUGUUCAAUUUUAAAAUUUUGAUUUAAAUGAAUCAAUUCUUAGGAAUUAAUACUUAUAAUUUACGAGAAAUUGAGGUUGAGUGAGUGUUUACUGAAACAGGCGCCUCAGAGGAAACAUCCAUUGCUGCUUUUGUCAGGAGUGGGGACCAACGCCAUUGGAUAUGAUCUCUCUCCCGAGGUAACAUUACAUUUGCAUGAAAUAAUUGUAUUAAUCUCUCAAUUAAUCGUUAAAUUAAUGUAUCUAAUUAAAAAAAAGAAUCAUUUUUCUUGUUCUUGUUAAAAUGUUGUUAAUUUAUAGCCAGAUGAUAGAGAAAAAUUGUAAAAAAUCUCAAUUUCACGACUUUAUUCUUAAUUUUUGCAAAAGAACACUAGAAGGAGGGAGUUUUCAAUGUCAAUGUGUGCAUUUGACUUGGUUUAUUUGUGAUUGCUGAUGGAAUGUGGCAUAUCUGCAGUCUUCGUUUGCGCGUUACAUGUCUAGGCAAGGAUUCGAGACCUGGGUUCUCGAAGUUCGUGGUGCUGGACUGAGCGUGCAAGAAUCGGAUCGCAAGGAAAUUCAGCAAUCUGCCCAUGAAAGGUCUGAAGAGAUGGAAGCUGUUUCUGAGAGUGCAACUGAUGCAGCUUUUCCUGCUGCCUCAGCACCUGAGACUCCUGCUCAGGAAGAAAAAAAUGAAAAUUCAGCUUCUAAGAGUGCACCUGAUGCAGCUUUUCCUGUUGCCUCGGCACCUGAGACUCCUGCUCGAGAAGAAAAACAUGAGAAUUCUUCUUCUAAGAGUGCCACUAAUGGAGCAUUUUCUGCAGAAAAGCAGUCUGGUGCCUCAGCACCUGAGGUUCCUGCUCAAGGAGUGAUUUCAGCUUUCAGUGGAGACGUUACAAAUAUAUUAACUGUAGGGGAUGAAUCAAAAUCAGUGACAAAGUUGACAGAAAAUUUUACGCAGCUGUCAGAAAGAUUUUCUGGCAUUCUCAGUGAAGGUCAAUCGACGAUCAUGGCUGCUAAGUUGCUUGACCAAAUUUCAAAACUGUUCGCUGGUUCUGCAUUAUCUGAGCGUAUUAAUGAGAUAAGCUAUAAGAUUUCAGGCCUGUUAGAGACAAGACAAAACUCAGCUAUUGCUAGCCAGAUCAAGGACCUCAGUCAAAGGCUUGUAAAUAUCAUUGAAGAGGGUCAGCGAUCAGUUUCACCUCCAUUGUUUGACUUGCAAGAGCGUUUUAAUUCUACGCUGGAAGAUUUCCAGAAACAACUUGAAUUGAUGGUGAAAUAUGAUUGGGACUUUGACCAUUACUUGGAAGAGGAUGUACCUGCUGUGGUGAGGUGACAAUUUAUCUUGAUGGAAGGCUAUCAUAUGAUUGCCCUUUUUGAAUUUAGUCUUUAGGAGAAGCAUCCAUUUGGAUUACACGUAGUAUCUCUUCUAUUAUAUUGAAUCAAAUAGUUUUCCUUCCUUUUACAUGAUGAAUUUAUAGUCUUCAAUGUUAAUUUACAGAUGGACUAUAUAAUGGCAGAAAGUAAGCCAAAGGAUGGGAAGUUGUUAGCUGUUGGACACUCGAUGGGUGGUAUAUUGCUUUACGCAAUGCUUUCACGAUGCGGUGAGAUUCCCUUUUUUCCCCAUGCAUUUCCUUUUCUUUAUUUGCCUUUUGGGUGGAAUUCGCUGCUCUAUGUAUUAUUGUUGAUACUUGAUUGGUUGAAUACCCGUUAUUCAUGUGCUGUUUUUCUACCCCUCACGCGGUGUUCUAAUGUGUUAUUUUCUUUCCCCAGUACAAUUGAGUCCGGUUGAGUGUUAUGAAAUUUUUUUCUUAAGAACUUGCUUAAAUACUGAUAGCAGAUUUGAUUGAAUGCUUCCAGUUUUGGUUCCAUGAUAUGCUUUGGUACCAUUUUCAUUUCGUAAAACUUUGUAAGAAACGCUCCAGCAUACGAGUCUGAUACCUUCAUUUAUUUCAUCUUUAAGGUUCUGAAGGAAGAGAGUCCCAAUUAGCAGCUGUUGUAACAAUAGCAUCAUCACUUGAUUACACAUCUUCAAAGUCAACUCUCAAACUGCUCAUACCCCUUGUAAGUGGAUGCAGAGUUGCGGUAGAUCAUCUCUAAAUUAAUUACAAUGAAUGUGUGAUUGUUAGUGUAGCUUAAACAUUGUUAAGGAACUAAUGUUAAGGAACUUGUCAUGUAGGCUGAUCCCGCCCAGGCUCUCAAUGUGCCAGCUAUUCCUUUAGGAAGUCUACUGGCAGCAACUUAUCCUCUCUCAACCCGUCCUCCUUAUGUUUUCUCUUGGCUCAAUAACUUGAUUUCAGCAGAGGACAUGAUGCAUCCGGAGUUGUUGGAAAAGCUUGUUUUGAAUAACUUUUGUAAGUAUUCCUACCGACACGAUAUACUUUGUCAAUUUCAUUCGAGAAAUUCAACAAGUCAACCAUGAUGAGUGGUUAUUUAAAAAGUUGUUGCUAGAGCCACUCUUCAUGGAUGUCUCUAACUGAUUCAUCAAGAAGUCAACCAUUAGUGAUUCUGUGCUUUUUACAAAUGGCAGGCACCAUACCCGCAAAACUUCUAUUGCAGUUAACAACAGCUUUUCGGAAGGGUGGAUUACGUGACAGGAGCGGUGCCUAUUUGUACAAGGAUCAUAUAAACAAAAGUAGUGUCCCUAUUUUGGCACUUGCCGGAGACCAGGAUCUAAUUUGCCCACCUGAAGCGGUUGAAGGUAAAAUCUCAGCAUAGAUGGCUUAUAUUUUCUCUAAAGUUUCUGUGAUUCGCACUUAUGAUACUUUGGUGAACCAGAAACCGUGAAGCUGAUUCCACAGCACCUGGUUACAUAUAAACUAUUCGGACAACCGGGUGGUCCACACUACGCUCAUUAUGAUUUGGUCGGAGGAAAAUUGGUACGAAGUUUUCUUCUCUCUCCCUCCCUCUCUUAUGGUACAAUAGUGUGACGUUCUCAAUUGAUAUAUAUAUAUAUAUAUAUAUAUAUAUAUGUUUGAACUGCAGGCAGUGGAGCAGGUCCAUCCAUGUAUAGUCGAAUUUCUUUGUCGGCACGACUCAACUUGAUUACCAAAACCAUGAAACAAUCCCUUCAAUUUGUUACGGGAGUAAGCUUGAUUUCACAACCAGCUUGAAAGGCUUUCAUCAUCUUUAUCGGUGCACGACCUGAUCAAGUUCUUUACGAUUUCCGGGUGCAGACCUAAAGUAUAAGUUAAUACACAGGACACUUUUUGUUUGAGGACGCAUGGUGGAGGCGAGUUUUAAGGUUUUUAUACAACAAAACACAGUUUAUCACAUUCAACAUUUUGUCAGCAAGGAGUAAAGUAGUGAAUACGAAAAAUUAUUGUAUGAUACUGGAAUAUAGUUACGUGGUGCAACCAAGUUAUGGAUUGCAAACCCACAUGGCCGUAUAUCAAUCUCUUGUUUUCUUCCUUAGAUUCUUCAGUACUAGUACUAUCGAAAGUGUUAUAUUUCAUCAUUUUUAUUAGUCUCUUUCUCAUCACGUGACCUUCCGCUAUUUCAAUAGUACCUUUUAUCAAUAAAUUUCAUGGGGCGGUGGAAAAACAAGUAAGGUGUUGAGAUCUUAUUAUCUGAAAGCUUCAUGUCUUGUAUUUUAGAGGGCAUGCCGGAGUGGGUUGUAGGGCAUUGGUGUUCCCUCGAAAAGUAACAAUCGUGGAAUUUAACAGAAGUAGGUCAACAAAUAGAACCAAAGCUUUAGAACUCGUUUGGAAACGUUUUUAAAAUGACUGCAAACAUUUUUGAUGAAAAUGUUUUUAAAACUAAUAUUUAGUAAAAAUGUAAGUAAAUUGUGGAAAAACAUUUAAAAGUGUUUCCUGGAUGACACAUAAACUAGUGUGUUUCUUACAGAAAACACUUCAAGUGCUUUUAGAACCUAAAAAUAUUUUUUCUAGAAACGCUUUCAGUCAUACGAAGAUUGGAGUGAUUUUCAUUUUCUUUUAACUUUUAAUUGACUGUUUUAUUGUAUACAUGCAGCAAUUUUGUAGUAGAUUUCAGAUGCAGCAAUAACAAGAGAGUUUCGAUAAUACCAUGGUGUCGAAAUGAACACGUAUGCAUGCAUGUUUUUUAAUUCGUUAUAAGUUCGUCGAACCAGCUGAUGAAUCGAUCUCCUGCGUCCGAUUUCUGUUGAAUUCCGACCUGAAAUUUCAAACCCUUAAUCUGUAGCAAGCUUAGGUUGCAGAAUCUAACCAAUGCAGUCACAAUCACAGAGACCAUCCCUUGUCGUUGUGGUGUUUUGUUCCUAACUUGUACUUGCACGUUUUGUAGCAGCACAAGUAGAUAAGCAAACACAUAACUGAAUGAUUGGUAAUGGAAGCAGACGGAUCUCUGUCUUCCAUGUUACAAUGUCUACUCACUACCGCUUCCGGUAUAAAUAUGUGUGUAUACAUACAUAUACAUAUAUACAUACAUGUCUAUAUAUAUACAUACAUACAUACAUAUAUAUAUAUGGUAGCAGAUGUUGUAAUGACUAAGUAGUGAGUCAGAUUUAAUGGAUCCAAAUGCAUUAAGCUUUCUGGUCAGUCCUUCAACCUUCCAGUCAGCUUACUACGAAGCCAAAGAGAAUGAUGGCAUCAUUGAUCUUGGUCUUAGCCUCAGAGCUCUGCAGCCUGAAACUUACCAUCCAUCUGCACAUUGUACGUUCCUUCUUCCUCCCUUUUUCUUCUUCGACCUCUUCUACGAGAGAUAUUUUAAACUACUAAUCUGCAGAAAACGGAAUUCGAACUUGGUUCAAGACAGGCCAACUGGCCAAACUCACAUGUGUCUGUUUUCAUUUUUUUUUUACAUUGCAUUUACUUUUGUAGUGGUGAGCUUGGAGGGAUAUGAUGAUCUGAUAGAUUGGCCCCAGGCUAACCUGAACUUGAAGAACACUAGCAUUCUAAACGUGAGAAGUGUCGCGGAAGAUUGCGACGAAGAAGCAGAGGGAGUGCAAAGCAAGGAGAGGAGGGCUUAUGUGAAGGUUAACAUGGAUGGGCUUGUUAUUGGCAGGAAAGUCUGUAUUCCUGAUCACAGUGGUUACUCGAGUCUUGCAUUUCAGCUGGAAGACAUGUUUGGUAAGUAGGAGGAUAAGAAAACCUAAGAAAGUGAGGAUCUUUACGCUCACAAAUUAAUAAGUGGUGCAUUGAUGUUUCAGGUAGACAAUCUGGAUCUGGGUUAAGGUUAUUUCAGGAUGGGUCCGAGUUUUUGCUUUUUUACAAGGACAGAGAUGACAAUUGGCGAACUGUCGGUGAUGUUCCAUGGAAGUAUGUUCUUUUAUCCUUUACUUAGACCUUGUCAGUAACCAUUUUGUUUUUUGCUUUAGUUUUAUUUCUACUAAAAAAAAUGAUGACAAAAAACUAAAUGAAAUGGUUAUCAAAUAACUGCUUGAAUUUUGAUUGCAUUUUCCAGUUUAUUAAGGACUAUAUUAUUGAAGUUUUGUUUUGAAUUGUGACAGGGAAUUCGUAGAAUGUGUGACGCGAAUGAGGAUUGCAAAAAAGAAUCAAGCUUUUCUUUCACCUCCUUUGAAAUUUAACUAAUUUUUCGUUUUCCACGUUGUUUCAUAUGUUCUUAGAGACAGUUUAACGUUGGAAGUUGGAACACCAUUUCAACUACAAAAUAGUGUACUCAUCUGUUUAAUCUGAGGGAUUACUUUAAUGUCCUAAAUCAUAAAAAAAAAAAAAAACCAACAAUAGCAUGUUUGCAUGCACAAGAAGUGGUAAGAAAGGCUUCAAGCUAAACUUUUAAUAACGCUUAGCCCUCUAACUAAUUAUUUAUUUCUUUAUACAUGUCUCUUGCAUCACGUGAAAAUAUCUAAUUACACAUAAGAUAUCGUCGAUAUUACUGACUCGAAGACGAUAAACAUUAUCGAGUUUGUUUAGUGCAGUGACUAGUGCGUGAGAAAAUCACAAUCUACAAGGACACUGAAAGGCCAGUGACAGAAUGCAGAGCCAGACAUAGUUAGACCAAAUACAAUCCGAGUCUCCGACAAAGAGACUCAGCUUUAAGUCAAUAGAACAGAAUACGUAGAUUAAUUACUAAUUACUUGACUGAUCAAAAGGACAGCUGGAAUCUUGUUGCAGAUUGACUAACUAAAUAGUUUGGUGGAGCCCACUCCCCCAUUAUUCGCGCUAAAUGGUGGGUAAAUAGAUAAUCAACUGUCUUAAUCGUACCGUUUUAUAAUGCGAUGAAAUCAUGAAAACAGACAAUUCAGAACACUUUCCAGCCAGUUGCUAACAAAAGACAGUUUAUAUUCUACCUUAAAUGUUUUAGUCCAAGUUGCGAUAAACGAGAUUCGGUAAACACUUUCGCUCUAACCAAUGUGGCGUAUCCAACGUCUGUUGCUAACUUAACAAUGUAUAAAUCCAAUGGCGAUUAUCGUUCAUAUUCUGAAGGGGAAGGGCGAACCCGUUUCGUUCAAUGAUUCAAAGAUUAUCUGUGGAGAUGGGGGUAAAGAACAAGAAACAAAUCAGCAACUUCAUUAACCUACAAGAACAAGAAGAUACAAAAGGUCUGAAAUAACAGCAUGAAGACAUCAUCGUUCACAAAUAUAUUAGUUAAGGGCCAAUUCACGCACAGUUAACAAUGUUCUUUCAGCAGACCUACCUCAUCCUAGCUCUAUCAAAUGACAGUAGGAAAAGCAGAAAUCUUACUGUCGAAACGCCUACGCUAAAUACACAAAUGCACGAUCACUAAUGCAUGAUCACUAAGAUUGAACUAACUCAAACAUCAAGCUUCACAAGUGGAUUGAAUUUGCCGCUAUCAUAUCUCAGACAGCAGACGUGGCCAACCUGUCCAAAGCAUCGGAUAUGUGCCUCAUUAUCGGUCUCCUUUCAGGGCUGCUGUGAACGCAAGCCAUUGCGAUCUUCAGAACCGCGAUAAUUUCUUCUUCCUUAUCCACAUCUUGCAUCAAAUUUGGAUCUAAAACAUCUAAAAGAGGCUUCUUCUCUUCAAUGUUGAGCUGAAUCCAAUGAACCAGGUCCAUUUCUGCGGAACCCACUUGGACUAUUGGCAAUCUUCCGGUAAUCAUUUCGAGUAAGAUUACCCCGUACGAAUACACAUCCCACUUCUGUGAUGGUUUCACCACUUUCAGAGCUUCUGGGGCCUGAUAACAAGAUCCCAAAUUGCUGGACGAACUAACCAGAGAAGCUUCAGUUGGCACUGCACUCGUUUGUUGCCUUUCUUGUGAUAUUUCUGUGGGGAUUCGGUUGGAUUGCAGUGUCGGGGACCCUCCAGCAAUAUUUGCAAGGCGUCCAAGUCCGAAAUCAGAAAUGUGGGGUUCCAUGUUCUGUCCAAGCAGUAUGUUAUUCGGCUUCAAAUCUCCAUGGACAUAUUUCUUGGGGCUAAACUCAUGAAGAUAGACCAAGCCUUUUGCAAUUCCUUUCAUGAUAUUCAACCGAACAGACCACGAUACUGGUGUAAAUGAUACCGGUCCUGGCUUUCCUAAUGACAGAACAAAACAAUCAAAUCAACAAAAACAACACAUUUAUAAUUUUAUUCGCAAAUCUGAGUAAAUACACCUACCAUUAGCAAGAGAGUAUAACAACCACCAACAAGAGUAUGAGUAACCAAAAUAGACAAGGAAAAAUGGUAAGCUCACCGUGAAUGGCGGUUGCAAGGCUGCCAUUAGGAAUAUAGUCAUAUAUGAGCAGCUUUUCAUCAACAGACCAGUAAUAAGCCCUCAGAGUAACCACAUUAGGAUGUCUUAGCUUUCCAAUUGCUUCAACUUCGGUCUGAAAUUCCUUGAAUCUCUGGGAGCCCCCUUCGCCCAAUCUUCUCACUGCUACUGUGAUUCCUUCUUCAAGCACAACUUUGUAAACAAUUCCAAUUCCACUUUUUCCAAGAACAAAAGCAGACGCCUUAAGAAGCUCAUCCAGAUCAAAUGCCACUAGUGUAUCCAAUGCCACUAGAUCAUAGUGCUCCAUAUUCUCCGAUAAAGUCUCCGAUUCAUCUUUCCUGAAGCACAAGCACUCUUUCCUUCGCUUACCUCCCUUGUCAUAACCAUUUUCAUCCUUAACCUUACUACAAACCCAAAACCUCGAAUAACAAUAUGAGAAAAGCAGCCCAACAAGGCAAAUGCCAAUUACAUCACUCACUAUAAUUGCAAUGACAGCUCUUUUACUCAACCCUCUUGCUUUCCCACUCUUUCCAGCAUUAUCAUCAGAAUCCUGAGGGGGGGAGUUAUCUGGCAGAUACGGAAUCGAGGAUGGUGGACUAGCACCGGAAAUUUCAGAAGAACAAGGGUUCUUCAAUGGGGGGCCACAAAGAUUAGGAUUCCCAAUAAAAGCAGUUGGUCCUCUGUUCAUCAGAGCACCAUUUUGCGGUAUCGGACCACUCAAAUUGUUGUAAGUAAGAUCAAUGUAAACCUUCUCAGGAAGAUUUCCAAGGCUUGCUGGGAUUGCACCCGAAAACAGAUUAUGAGACAAAUCAACAGUGCCUUGCAAGCUAGACAGAUUUCCCAUAUCGCUAGGAAUCGAGCCACUGAACUUAUUGAAAGAAAGAUCAAGUUUUUCCAGAGAAACAAAACUACUUCCAAACCCUUCUGGUAGAAAGCCAGUGAAAUUAUUCUGACUAAGAUCGAUGGUUCUGAGCCUCUUGCAUUGUAUAAUCGACGAGGGCAACGACCCAUUAAACAAAUUUUCUGAUAAAUCUAGGGAUUGAAGGUAUAUGAGCUUACCAAUCACAUUUGGGACAGACCCAGAUAAGGAAUUUCCAUAAAGCACCAAACUUUGGAGCCCCAGAGCUUGGAAAAGCUCAAGGGGCAAGCUUCCGUACAACAUAUUGUUCCUUAAAUUGACAUGGCGGAGCUCGGAGAGGGCUCCCAUGGCGGAAGGAAGAGACCCUGAAAGUUUCUUCUUUGGAAUGCUGAGAGAGACAACCCUUUGGUCCUUGCAUGUAAUCCCAUUCCAUGUGCAGGGGUUGGAAUCAGAGGAGUUCCAGUUGCUUAGAGACCCUUCUGGGUCUUCUGCAAUGGAAUGCUUGAACGACAAAAGGGCAUAGCCUUCGUCGUUCAAAGAAUCCACCAGGCAAUGGGAGUUGCAGAGCAGCAGAAGUACCAAAACUAAAUUAUAAAACAUUUCCGGCAGAAAAUUGCAGAGUCAGAGUUCAAGGGGAUUACCUUUACUUUCUCUGCAGCGGAAACCAAGUGAAGGGUUUUGGAGAAAGCAGAGAGAGUCAAUGGAAGUGGAGCGAAAGGAAGUGUGAAAGCUUUGACAGUGAUGGACAAUGGUAGAGGCUCAGCAAGCACGGACCUUGGGACUAUAGAGAACCCAAAAGAAAAUGGCAAUGGCAAAAGAAAAUGGCAAAAGAGUAGGUUGGUGUGGGAAUCCAGACGAUACUGUCACUCAAAUCCCUCAAAUUCAACUUAUCGCGAUAUUUUGUUGGACACCAAUCACCAUUCUUUUGUUUAAGAAACAUUGCGUUGAUUAUUUUUAUGAGACUCACGACUUUGUGCAAUCUUUAGGUUGUGUUUGUUUCCAUUCAUUAAGUCUCACUAGACUGGAUUGGACUAAAAGUCAGUCUAAUUUUGUGUUUGUUACAGGGAGGGAUUACCUUUAAUGGUAUUAAGUGGGACUCGUCCCGACUAACACCUUCGUUAGAAGGUCUUAGCGAGACCCCCCAAAUACGAGAGGACUGCUAAGCCCCUUCUCGCUUCGCUCGCUUCACUUCAUCUGCUUCGUUUCGUCUUCUUCAUAUGCUUCGUUUGUUUCUGUCUUCUCUUUGCACCGACAGCCCCACCCACCCCACUCCUCUUCUCCGACAGCUGUUCAAUUCACCUCUAGUCUGCUUCUCUCCUCUUUGCACCGACAUCCCCACCACCCUACUCUUCUUCGUCGUCACGCAAAUUGCAGAUUCUUCUUGAAGCGAGAGAGGAGAGAUUCGUCUUGCAGCAAGAGAGGGGAGAUUCGUCUUGUAGUCUUUGGGGAUUCCUUUUUUUCUUCUGUUUUUUUUUUUUGAACAAAUGCUUUGUCUGUUUGAUUGCUGGUGUUCUGCCAUUUGAUUACUGGUGUUCUGCCAUUGAUCUUUGGAUGUUUGAUUUUUUGGUGUCUAUAUUUCUUAUUUUACUUUUUUGUAGAUCUUUGGAAUCGUCUGAGUUGGUAUUUAAACUUGAUUAUAUUUGAUAAAGUUUAUACAUGAUUUAUUACAUAUUUUCUUGAUUAAUUUUGAAAUGUUAAUUGAGGGUUAUCUGAAAUAAGUGUGAUCUGGGUUUUCUGAAAUAAGUAUGAUCAAAAUAUAGUAUCUAAAUUUAAUAGUUAUCCUGCUUCUUAGUCCGACACUGCAUCAAACACUUCAUUAAAUCAGUCCAACUUAGUCUAGUCUAAGCUAGUCCAGCUUAGUCCCUGAAGUUAGUCCAGUCCGAGAUAGUCCGGUGCAACAAACGCACCCUUAGUGUUUAGCACAAUGUUUUAUAAAAUUAACAUAUAAAUUAACGUUAAAUUAUGAAGUAACAAAUAAUUUAUGAAUAAUCUACUUUUAAAAAAGUUUUGUUAGCAUUUCUCAAUUUAUAUUAAGAAAAGGGAGUACCGUUUAGAAUCCAAACUAUAGUGAAUUGAGGAGAAAAAUUUUAAUUAAUAUAAGGCUCGUUGAAUGUGAUUUUAAAAUGACUGAAAGAGCUUUUAAAGAAAAUGUUUUUGGAUUUCAAAAACACUUUAAGUGCUUUCUACAAGAAGCACCAGUUAUGUAGUUUUUCUAGGAAGUAUUUAAGUACUUUUCCAUAAUUUACUAACAUUUUUACUAAAAAUUGUUUCCAAAAAUAUUUUGACCAAAAGCGUUUUCAGUCAUUUUAAAAGCACAUCCAAACGAGUCCAUAGUAAUCAACUAUUUGCUAAUAAGUAGUAGUAGGAGUAGGAUUAUUAAACUUACGUUCUUUAAUUAAAACAUUUGAUCUAGCCGUUUAAGACAGUCUAACAAAUAUGGCCAUUCGUAAAGCAUCUCCUAUAAAUAAAACACGGUUUUCUAUGCUAAGGUUCGUUUCAACCCUACAAUGGUUCCAUACUCACACUAAUAUUGAUUCCACUCCUGUGAGAAGUGUCUUACACAUGAAUAAAUUCUUAUGUAGAAAUAUUCACAUGUAACGUUUUUCAUAUAAAUGGAAUUACGUGUGAACAUAAAUAAUAUCAAACUACAAAACGCUUCAUUUUUGUAGUUCAAACACUUCAACCGUCAAUCGAACACCGAAUAUUUCCUCACAAACACAUUAACAUUUUAGUACGAAACGAAGAGAGACGCGGCCCCAACAAUUGCAUUUCUAGAGAGUGAUGAUUGUUCCACGCAGGUUUCAAACCGUUAAUGGGGACAAAAUAUGAUUACGGUCACUGACUCACUGGUCACUAUCUGCUCCGAUGAUGACCUUAUUAAAUUCAUUGGAAAUAUGGCCAAAGGUCUCUUGCUGACGUGGCAUUGAAUGAAAAAAGAGACAGUUGUAAAUAUCGCGAGAAAUUGAUAUAGAAGAUGGCGAUAAAUUGACAUGUGAACAAUUGUUGGAGGCUAGCGAGAGGGAUUCUAGAGGGUAGCCGUUUGUCAGUGGCGAGGCCCACUCUAUAAAGCUUCCUACUUUACAGAGACUGGAGAGUAAAUAAUUCAUUUUUGGAGGGGUUGAAUGCAAAUAGAGAAUUCAAGUGCAGGGUUUUGUACAGGACCAAGUUGCCACGUAGUACAGAACUUGUGCAACUUCGCACACAGAAAAGAACGACACCGUUUUGCGUGCAAGACAACAGGGUCCACCUGAAGUACUACGACGGGGACCAGAAGAAGAUGCUGGAGAUACUUGCUGGAUGCAAGAAAACAGGGUCCACUUUUCGUGUGGGUGGCCGGAAUGUAGAUGGCGUUUUCAAGGUGAAAUUUGUAGAUGGAAGGGGACGCGGUCAAAGUGACAGGUAUUUUGUACCUAUCAUGCGGUUUCAUGUGUUUAUCCCUUUCAGCGUAGCGUCUUGUGAUUGGUUAAGAAUAUCGUCGUCAUGUUGCGUGUAAUUUGUUCUCGUGGUUUUGAGGCAUCUGGUGAGUUCGAUGGAUCGCUAGCUCAUGGCAACAUGUCAGCCACUGGAAUCAAAGAGCCUGGAUAAGACAACUACUUACAUUCGGAAAAAAAAAUAUGAUCAUGGUAAUCAAAUUCAUCUGUAAGACUAAUACAAAGGCAACUUAUUUAAUCUUCGAAAUAAACAAUUCAAUCAAAACCAAGUAAUAAAAAGUAAAAAUCCAAUAAAAAUAUACACUUUCCUACUCCCCCGGCCAAUUUGUUUGUUUCCAACUUGUAUUCUGCUGCUGUCUCAUCAGCCACAAGUGUGGUUCUUGGAAGCUGAGUUUCGGCCGGGUGGUGGCGGUUGCUGAUCAAGCACCGCAGCCGGCACUUGUAGCGGCGCAAUUAGAACCGUAAGUAUCGUGACCGGUGGUGGCGGCUUUGUCUUUGGGCACGCCAUCUGCACAGGAGAAGAUGAUGGCUGAGAUAACAACAAAGGUGGCCAGAGCUGCCCACAACAUCACAAAAACUGCUGCACUGCCGCCGCUUAAACCACUCCCUCCACCUCCGAGCUCUUUCCAGUCCCUCGCCAUAUGAAUUGAUAAAUUGCAAGCUCCUACCUUCUCUCUUAGAAAUGGCUGAUAAGGCUUUCUGAUAAGCUGACUGACUGACUGACUAGUAGUCUAAUUUUAUCGAAAGGAGGACGUGUUUUAUUUCUUUCCAAUUGCUCUCAUAUAUAGUGAUUGGUGGCCCAUUACCCUUCUCCACGUUGGAGGGGUGUGCGUGUUUGUAUAUACAGACGCACGAUAAAAUGGCUAAAUUAAAAAUAUGGUCAACCCAAAGUGUAGAAGCAUCUGAAGUUUUAGUGAAAUUAUGGAUCCGAAGUUUGAGGGAGAUAGAACUCAGAUGCAGAGAGACGGACACAUUAUACUGUCAACUGGUCUAACUCUGCGAUGCCGGCUUUCUUUAAAAAAAAAUGAGAAUAGCAAGAAAGGGAAGACCUAGACAUAGAGAAUGGAAGACUUGGUGGUCUCCAACUCUCCUUUGUUUUAUAUAAGAUAUAUACCUAUAUAUUUUUUCGUAUCUAUACAUACAUAUACAUACAUACAUAGAUAUACAUACAAACAUAUAUAUAUAUAUAUAUUCUUUUCUUGCUAUACAUACUAAAUAGUUUAGUGGGAAUUAAUUUCCAUAAAUUAAGAUGAUCAAUCUUCAAGAAUCUGGCAUUGAUGGGUAACUAACCAUAACCUGUAAACAACAACAACAACAACAACAACAACAAAGCAUUUUCCCACUAAGUGGGGUUGGCUAUAUGAAUCCUAGAACGCCAUUGCGCUCGGUUUUGUGUCAUGUCCUCCGUUAGAUCCAAGUACUCUAAGUCUUUUCUUAGGGUCUCUUCCAAAGUUUUCCUAGGUCUUCCUCUACCUCUUCGGCCCUGAACCUCUAUCCCGUAGUCACAUCUUCGAACCGGAGCGUCAAUAGGCCUUCUUUGCACAUGUCCAACCCCAUUUUGUGUACGUGUUGAUACUUCACCGCCCAACAUUCUGUGCCGUACAGCAUCGCCAGCCUUAUUGCCGUCCUAUAAAAUUUUCCCUUAAGCUUAUGUGGCCUACAACGGUCACACAACACGCCGGAUGCACUCUUCCACUUCAUCCAUCCAGUUUGUAUUCUAUGGUUGAGAUCUCCAUCUAAUUCUCCGUUCUUUUGCAAGAUAGAUCAUAGGUAGCGAAAACGGUCGCUCUUUGGUAUUUCCUGAUCUCCGAUCCUCACCCCUAACUCAUUUUGGUCUCCAUUUGCACUGAACUUGCACUCCAUAUAUUCUGUCUUUGAUCGGCUUAGGCGAAGACCUUUAGAUUCCAACACUUCUCUCCAAAGGUUAAGCUUCGCAUUUACCCCUCAUGAGUUCAUCCAUCAACACUAUAUCGUUUGCGAAAAGCAAACACCAAGAAAUAUCAUCUUGAAUAUGUCCUGUUAACUCAUCAAUUACCAACGCAAAAAGGUAAGGACUUAAGGAUUAUUGAUACACAAAAUCAGUGAGGACUUUGGUACAACAGAAAGUAUUAAGUUUGUGAUUUUCGCUAGAUUGCUCUGGUCAUUAGUGUGGAUAAGUAUGUAAAUGGAUAGAGACAGGAAAGCAAACACAAGAUGUACGUGGUUCACCCAGAUUGGCUACGUCCACGGAGUAGAUGAGUUCUCAUUAAUUGUGAAGGGUUCACACAAGUACAUAGGUUCAAGCUCUCCUUUAGUGAGUACAAGUGAAUGAUUUAGUACAAAUGACAUUAGGAAAUAUUAUGGGAGAAUGAUCUCGUACUCACGAAACUUCUAAGUACCGAAGUGUGGUAUCGUCUUCACUUGCCUUAUCUGUCUCAUAGGUAGAUUUGACAUCUUCUCUGGAAGUACUCUUCCUCCAUCUAGGGGUGGUAUCUUUAACUGGUGGAGAUGCACAAGGUAAUGUAUCAAUUUCACUUGAAGCUUACUUGUAGUUUCAGGCUUGGUCAAACGCGAUACAAACCAUGUAGUAGGAGUCCCCCAAGUCGCCAAGCUAGAGGAUCUGCUGAAAGAUGUGACAGACAAGGAAUAAGAGCUCUAAGCAAUCAGUCCUAGAUCAGAAGUUUGAUUUCGAGUUCCGGCUGAUUGUUCUCAUUCUCCCUAUCUUGCAGGCAGCAUGAAGGAUAAAGAGAAGAAAAAGGAGAAUAGAUGAUAUGAGAUACUUUUGCUUUUGAAGAAGUAACUUUCCACAGGCUUAUUCUUGAACUGGGCUGGAGGGUUUUCUGGUUUCCUCUAGAAUAUAAGGCCGACUGAAGAAUUUGAGGGUCAAAACAAGUCCAUCAAAUCUAGAGUACGUUCGACCCUACUGAUAUAUGAUACUUUUGCUGUUGACAAAGUAGUGGAUGUAUCGGCACGUGUUCUGUUACGCUUGUCUCCACAUGCUUCCUUGUAUCCUUCUCACUUUCCCUAUCUGUUCCUCAAACAGAUGUGGUAUCUUCUCUGGAAGCAUAAGAUGUUGAAGAUGAGUACUCGAGAGCAAUGCCAGGUAAGUAAUCAGGUAAAGGGUUCCAAGUAGUCAGUUCCUGACUAGAAGCUUGAUUUCAAGUGCUGACUGAUUGCUCUCUUUCUCCUUGUCUUGCAGGUAAGAACAAGGCCAAAGGAAAAGACAGGAAAAAAGCAUGAUAUGGGAUACUCUUACUUUUAACCCUGAUGAUAUGAGAUAUUCUUGCUCUGGUGUAACUUGUUUGCAGAGGUAUUGUCGGGGGGAAAGAAAACUGAGUAUUUCGAGAGACUUCGUUGGGAGUGUCAUCUCCGAUAUGAGGAAGGGUUGAGCAUUUUUACAGGUCUGCCUGUCCGUUGAGGAUGGAGGUCGACAUAUAUAGGAGUCUCCUUAACAAGUAGUAAUGUUAUUCCUUUACCCUGCUUGGUCAUAGCACGGUAGUGGGAGCUGCCAGCUUCACGUGUGUCGGAGCACUUUGAAAAAAUGGUCUGUGGUAUCUGGAAAGCUGAUGUUGCGUGUGAAGAUUACAGACAAGCUUUAUCCAAAGAGAUCUGGCUCUCGAAGUUGAGAAAGCGGUGCCUCUUUUGUAACAACCCGUCCCGGGAUUUACUGUACAUAAAUGGUAUUUUUGUAUUUUCAUCAAGUUUGGGAAUUUAUCUUCCUUUUAAAAUUUGUUUUGGUCUUAAAUGGUGAGCCAAGGGGACCCACCCCCUGAUUUCUGUCCCCAGCCUCCCAUCUCUCUCUUCCUUCUUCUUCGUCUCUCUCCCCCGUAACUCUCCCUUAGCUCUCUCCCUCUCAGCUAUCCCGUACCUCUCUCCCUCAACCUCUCGCAUCUCUCUCUUCCCCUGGACUCACCAGGACCGAGUCACCAUCGAAGAGAGGCUCGCAACGAACCCCGGACCCUGCCCUGCGAGUUCGACGGCACGGAGUAAGCUCCGACGACUUUCGAGGCAACUUCCGGCCAAACCACGGCGAGUUAGACGUCGUGUGAGGUACCAUUCUCUUCGUCUCUUUGAGGGCUACAACUUUCGUUUUUGUCUCGCUUGAUUUCGUUGAGUAGUGAUAAAGUUAUGGCCGUUUAAAGUUAGGUGGUUUUCCGGCCGAAUUUCCGGCCUUCUUCAUUCUUGGGUCCGGCGACCCACCAAAACCCAAGGCUUUGGGCCUUUCCUGCCGAGCCCAACCCAAACCCAUUUUCUUUAUUUUGUUUUAAAAUUAAGUUGUUAUUAAAAAGGCCCUUGGGCCAAUUUGGAACAGGGCCUUCGGCCCGUGAGUAGCAACCCAGAAAACCCUAGGCUUUAAGCCCUUGGGCUUUCCAAGUCAAGGCCCUAAGCCCUUUUUCUUUUAAAAACCCAAAUCCUUUAAAACCCUAAACCCAUCCAAUUCCAAAUUCCCUAUUUUAUUUAAUUCAAACCAUUCUUAGGGUAAUUCAACGUUCUGGAUCCGUUUUCAAUGUCCGUUUUCCCAAAUUCAAUUGCUAUUAUAUAGUUUUAUUAAUUGUACCAUUUAAUGUGCUUAGGGGCAAUUAUUGUGACGUUUCCGUCUUUGAUAGUGGCGCAGCUUUUGACAACUAAGUACUGUGAGUGGACCAUUUCUAAAAUUACAUGAUUUUAUAGUAAUUGCAUAAAUGAUUAGCAUGCCUACGAAUUUAUGAUUUGAUUUAUGUGAAGCCUGAUAAUUUAAUAUAUUGAUUAUCGUCUCGUGUUUUGGUGAGGAAUUAUUUAUUAGCUUAUUUUGAGCUAUAUUUUAAUAUAUCGUAUUUUCUAUAAAAACCAUGAACUGGUAGACUAUCGAUAAAUGACGAUAGGAUGCUAGAACAUGUUUUUGAACCUCUCUUUAUAGUGUAGACGAUGAUUGGUAACCUACGCUAUGAAGUGGUAUUUACAAGAGGCGUAACAUUUUGUGCGUACCUAGUGGACACUAUGCCGCCUGGGGCGAGGAUCUGGUGUUGGCAUUUAGGCCGGGAGAAAUAAUCCCUAGCUACGGGCUGAGGGACAUGAAGAGGCAUUGGGCCGGGUGGUAGUUAUCUCUGGCUACGGCGCAGAGACUUAGGUGCAGGCAUUGGGCCGGGAGUUAUAUUUAUUCGGUGAUCUUACUAGCAGCACAGCGCGUUUACGAGACGAUCUACGAGAUGUUUUACGCGAUGAUUUAUAUGAUGUUUUCCGCGUUAUGGCUUUUGAGAUAUUUUGGCAUACUAGGAUUUUUAUUAAAUCCAUCACUUAUUAUGCUAGUAGUUUUCAUUAUAUAAACUGUGGGGGUUAGUAUUUUGAUAACUGUUUUAUUAUUAUUAUUAUAUAUAUAUAUAAACUUGGUCCACUCACCUUUGUUUUGCGCCCCCAUUCAGGACUUAGAAUCAAGGCACCUAAUCCCGCCGUGAAGGCACUUCCGCAGCAGCAUCUUCAGAUCUUUUCGAUGUAGGACCCACUCUUUUAUUCAUUAAAUUUUAUCUUAAUUCUUUUUAGUGAUUAUGUUUAGUUGUAUGCUCUGAGCACGUUCCUAAACUGUUAACUCAUUGUAUUUCAAAUUUCUAACCCUUAUUUAUUUCUUAUUCUUAGCUUUUAUAUCAAUUAAUGGCUUUCGUCACCCUCGGGUGUCGGCCAGCACGUGUCUAUCCUGGUAUUCGGGGAAUAUCAGGGUCGGGGCGUGUCAGAUUGGUAUCAGAGCGUGGUUUGUUCAGAGCAUACUUAGGAUUCUUUUCUAUUCUCUUAAAGUGUCAGUUUUGACAUCAUUUGGAUGUCACGACUUCCGGAUUUUGUGUCGGUGCAGUUGUGCAAAUCUCUCUCUGAUUGAAUUGUCACCUUCUGGUUGAAAUACAAGAAUUCGUGUCGGGAUUGUGCCUCAACAGUGAUGAAGUGGAUUGUUGGACGAUUUUCAGCAUCGGAUCGAUACUCCACGACGUGCAUCCCUUGGGAAUGAAGGGUAGAGUCAGUAUUAAUUGGAAACGACGUGUUUUAGAAAUCUCAGUGUGCGGAAGUUUGGUAAAGACCAGCUGUAUAUUCAAAAUGGCGAUGCCGCUCUGCAACAUGCGUUCCCUAGGAAUUGCGGGCGGAGUCGGCUCUACAUCGAAAUUUUGGGAAACUCCUCAGUAGCAGAUGUUAUUCUCAUUAAUUUCCAAAAUGAGUUACAAUUCUUGUUGUUGUUGUAGUUGGAUUUGGAUGAUGAAUAUCCAGUCUUGUUUGGAUAAGCAGAUUCCUUGAACUUCACCUGGGUCUGGUACUCGGCGAAAAAACCCUAGUUCCUCGUCCGCGUACUUUUCGGUGAAGGUGAACUUAGUCUCUUGCUUGCAGCCUAGCUGUUCAGCCUUGUAAUUUUCAAUGUAAUGGCUUGAGACUCUAUCAUAUUCAUCAUUGUAUGAAGAUCGAGCUUUACUCUGAACUUCUCUAAACUCAUUGAGCUUUGGUUUGCUCAAAGGCAUCACUUUAAGGUAGUCAAUCGUGUCACUGAGUGCUUACGCAGGUUGCUUUGUAUCUUUCUUCUUCGUCAUUCUGCUGAUUCAGAGGUUCUAUGUUUAAUUUCUAAAUUUUUAAACAGCUCUCACGAAGUAUUGUGAAUCUCGAAAUUUCUCUGGCCUUGUCAAAUCUUAUUAUCAAUUCUUAACUAUUCUUGAGCUUAGACCUAUUUCUUUUUUGCUAAGAAACCAGUUGACCAUACUGUGAUGAUUGGCAAAAUAAUCAUAAACAGUGACUUCUAUUUCUGCAUCUUUACCUUCAUUCGCUUGUUUGUUUCUCAAUGUGAAUUGGACCAUGCCGGAACAUUAUGCGGAGGGUGAACAAUCGAUCAGUGAGGAAUUAACAAUCGAUCGAUUUGGCCUUCUCGACGUGGAUUCUUACUCAUUCAGUGAGGAAUUAACAAUCGAUCGAUUUGGCGGAAGCAUGCGCCCAAUUCUUAUCGAUUUGGACAGGAAUGUUGGGAGCAUAAUCAGUUCACAAGCUUAUCAGACUUACCAGAAAGAGUUCAUCGUGGGUGUGAAGUUUGAGUUGUCCUUUGGUAAACUGUUAACUGUAUUUCAAAUUUCUAACCCUUAUUUAUUUCUUAUUCUUAGCUUUUAUAUCAAUUAAUGGCUUUCGUCACCCUCGGGUGUCGGCCAGCACGUGUCUAUCCUGGUAUUCGGGGAAUAUCAGGGUCGGGGCGUGUCAUCUUUGGUUUUCGAACAAGCAAUCCUGUCGGGGAUCUGGCUCUCGAGAUUCAGAGAACGGUGCCUCUUCAAUUUUUUAGAAAGCAAUCCUGCUGGGAGUCUGGCUCUCGAGAUUCGGAGAGCGGUGUCUCUUUGAUUUUUGAGAAAGUAAUCAUGUUGGGAGUUUGGCUCUCUAGAUUCGGAGGGCGGUGCCUCUUCGAUUUUGGAGCAAGCAAUCCUGUUGGGAGUGUUUUCUCGAAUGUGAGUAAAGGUUUGGCAUGUUUGCUAGUCUACCUUGCCACGGAGCACAAAGGUUGACACACAGGGACUUUCCAAUUAUCCAGCAAUGGUGCUGUUCUUUUACCUUUAUGGGUAAUAAUAUGGUAGCUAGACCUUCAAAAUUUAUGUGUCUAAACUUUGUUAGUGCUGUUUCUUUGCUAUUCUUUUACCCUUCUUGGUCAUAGCAAUGUAGUGGGAACUGCAAGUUUCACGUGUCUAAACUUUGUCAGAGAUCUUUGGCAAAGUUAUCUGUGGUACCCAUGAGCUGAUGGUGCAUGUGGAAAGUGGAUGAUUGAACAGUAAGAUUCACGUGCUUUCUACUUCACCAGAAAUCUUCAAUAGAAUGCCCGUAAUUUCAGCAAAGCUGAGUGUGCAUGUGAUGCUGACAAGGCUGAAAAAAGCUGGUGCCUCUUAGAUUUAUGAAAUCGGCCCUCGUGGUCUCUAAGCAGCCCAGCUUUUGAGAAAGCAAACGCCUCUUCGAUUUCUGAGAUUGGCCCUCGUGGUCUCUGAGCAGCCCAGCUUUUGAGAAAGCAAACGUCUCUUCGAUUUCUAGGCAGACGCCUCUUCGAUUUCUGGAGCUCCGUCGAGUGCAGAUUUUUAUAGAGGUUGACAUUAAGUUCCAAAACACACUUGAAUCUCCACCAAUAGAAGCUCCCUUCUUGCACUUCUAAGAUCUUGAUUUGUCCAACCUCUUCUCUCUUCAACACCUUUGAAAAUGUCUGGCUCAUCCGACUGUCGUUUUGAUUUGAACCUUGUUGAAUAGGCAGCCACGCCUUCUCCAGACAACAUAUGGCGCCCAUCCUUCUUAUCCCCUACUGGUCCUCUUACCUUUGGGGAUUCUGUGAUGAAGAAUGAUAUGACUACUGCAGUGGUGGCCAGGAACCUUCUCACUCUCAAAGAUAACAGACUACUUUCCAAACGGUCUGAUGAGUUGGCUGUUAAGGAUUCUCUGGCUCUGAGUGCUCUUUCGCCACUCAUUUGGCAUCUCUUCGUUUUCAAAAUCCUAUUGAAAAGGUUAGUGAGCCAUGCUAUACCUGUCUCUCCCAAGACUUUCCACACUUCGAUUGGUAUAUCGUCUGGGCCCACUGCUUUUCUAUGCUUCAUCUUCUUCAAAGCUACAACCACUUCUUCCUUCCUGAUUCGACGAUAAAAUGAGUAGUUUCUACACUCUUCUGAGUUACUCAACUCCCCUAAAGAAGUACUCCUUUCAUGUCCUUCAUUGAAAAGAUUAUGAAAAUAACCUCUCCAUCUGUCUUUGACCGCGUUCUCUGUAGCAAGAACCUUUUCAUCCUCAUCCUUGAUGCACCUCACUUGGUUUAGGUCCCUUGUCUUCUUUUCCCUUGCUCUAGCUAGUUUAUAGAUAUCCAACUCUCAUUCUUUGGUAUCUAGUCGCUUAUACAUAUCGUCAUAAGACGCUAACUUAGCUUCUUUCACAACUUUCUUCGCCUCUUGCUUCGCUCUUCUAUACCUUUCACCAUUUUCAUCGGUCAUGUCCUUGUAUAAGGCUUUACAACAUUCCUUCUUAACCUUCACCUUUGUUUGUACCUCCUCAUUCCACCACCAAGCUUCCUUUUGGUGUGGAGUAAAGCCCUUGGACUCUCCUAAUACCUCUUUUGCUACUUUUCGGAUACAACUAGCCAUGGAAUCCCACCUUUGGCUAGCUUCCCCCUCUCUAUCCCACACACAUUGGGUGAUUACUUUCUCUUUGAAAAUGGCUUGUUUUUCUCCUUUUAGAUUCCACCAUCUAGUCAUUGGGCACUUCCAAGUCUUGUUCUUUUUUCUCACACCAAAUAAAACUAAUCUAAAUAGACCUAACAGACUGCUGACUCAUGAAUAUAAUAUAUAUCAUCUUUAACAUCAAACUGUUGAAUCUGUUGACUCUAUAGGGUACUUAUUAAGAUGAGCAAGCUAGCCGAGACUGACUUAUGAUCUUCUGCAUUAUUUUCCUUUGUUCUUCUGUGCCUUGAACCGUUUGUUUAAACUUUUUAAGGCUACUACUGAAUCAGCGCUGCUGCAUUUCAAAUUUUAGACAGACCGAGCUUCAACGCUGGAUGACGCGAUUAAAUAAAUCAAAUAUCUCAUGACAUCAAUCUGCCUCUUUCUUUUCAGUUAAACAUUUAAUUGCCUUAAUAAAAUGUUACUUGUUAUGUACAUGAUCAGACGACGUCCAUGGGUGGAGGAGCUGUGUACCAGACUCCAAAUUUGUCCUUGCCUGGGAUUCAGGUACCGUUUGAUAUGUGGGACGGGACGGGACAGAACGGGACGAGCCGUUCCGUUCCACGUUUGAUGCGCCUUAAAACUGUGGAACGGGUUGUCCCAUGGGACAAAAUUUGGCUGAUUUUUCGUUCCACCUCUUCCCCCUGGAACGAUCCAUUCCACAUCCGUGGAACACAAAUUUAUAACAUUUUAUGACAAAAUUUAUCCUUAUCUUUUUCAAUAUUUACAUCAUCCGUUCCGUUCUGUUCCGUCCCGUCCCAUCUGCAUACCAAACGGUACCUCAAGGCACAAAACUGUCCCAAGUUAUGCCGUAUUAAUUUACCCAUGGGACCGGGACUGGGAGCUGGGAACGAGCAAUGCGUAUGAAAUUGGAAUGGGAUUGGGAAUGGUUAAUAUGUGUUAUGGAACAGGCCUUCCAGCCAUGUCAGUUCCCUCGGCAACUGCAGGGUUGCCGCUAAUGUCUGGACUGGGAGUUCUACCUGUUAAUCCUCAACUGCAAAUUGCCAUUCCUUUCUUCGCAAGCAAUGCCUAGCACGGCCGUUACCACAUCAAAUAUGUCACGGCUAUGGACUCAACUUAAUUGGGCCUUGCCCUUUGUUUGGAUCUUUCUUCUCAAACGAUAGAGGUCCAAUAUUUGGAUUUAUUUAUUUAUUUUACAAAAGUAAUUUUUUUUUUUUUAACAAACGAUAUUAUCAAGGGGAUGUGCUAAUCUCACAAUGGGCUAAGCAAUAAUAUGGUUCAAAUUCACUUUUGAUGAAAAUCAAAUCUAAGAUCUCUCAUUUACAAAUGAAAAAGAAUACUACAAGACCGUACUAAGUGGUUACAAAAGUGAAAAUAGAUAACAAAGUUAAUCGCAAUUUACUUAUGGGUUAUGUGAUUGGACCACAUUGGAUAUAAUUACAAAGAGUGGGGCAGAUGUGAACACGUCAAUCACUAUUAACCAUGCUCCAUAAAUUAUCUUUAGUGUCCAUAUGGCAUGCAUCAACUCAUAUUGUUUUGGAGAGGUAUUUUAGUGUGAUGGGAACAAUUCUGUACACAAGUAUAAUAAUAUAAUGAAUUUAAAAAUUUUAAUAAAUUUUUUUAACUAAUUGUAUUGUGACACUUUGUGUAUCUAAACGUAUCAUUGGCAUAUUGAAAAAUUUCUUAUAAUCUUGAGUUCUUGACAUCAUUUUGGAUCCAAAAAAUUCUUUGAACAUUGACCAAUGAAAUUAGUACCUCUGUUGAACAGAUUGCAAAUAUACGAUUUUUCGGUGUUGAUUUGAGCUAAUCAUCAUUACAACGCCAGUGUAAAAGUAAAAGAAUUUGCUUUGGAAAAAAAAAAAACUAGGGAAGAUCGAUUAUGAUCAAUGUAAAAUGGAGUAUAAUAUUAUUUCGACGGGAAUAAAAUUGUUAAUCACCUUAUUUAUCAUCGUUAGAAAAGUUUAAAUUCGAAAUUUGUCUAAUAGAAAGGCACAAAUUCCAAAAAUCAAACUCAUCUAACAAUAACAAUUAGAGUGAUAAACGGAGUAAAAGAGUGCUGUAUUUAAUGUUUGGGAAAGCGAUCCUCUCUGGAUUCCUUUCACCAAUUCGUACCAAUCAACAAAUUUAGGCCUUUGAAAUUUGAUUCAACUGCUAAAGUUGUUAUAACUUUUAAAGUGACUCCCUAUAUUUAUUUAGAUCAAAUUUCAAGGGCUCGGAUUUGUUGAUUGAUAGGAUUUUGUGGAAGAGAUUCGGAGAUGAUCACUUUCCUAAUGUAUGAUAACUUUUAUGGAGAUCUCCGACUAAUUGUACUAAUCACUGUCCCUGGCCACUCUUGUAUAACUAGCCAAGAGAUCUCCAUUUAUAUAGUUGACUACAUUUCUUCAUAAAUGUCCGACUACAUUUAUAUAGUUGACUCAUCAUCAUCACCUGCACUGCACCAACAUUUAUAUAGUUGACUACAUUUCUUCAACUCAAGUUUGAAGAUGAUGAGAUCAAUGUCCUACUACAACGUUGGAAUAUUGUGCGUUGUAGUUUUUGUUGUUGUGGUCGGGGGAACCCAGGUGGGUGAGGCAGCGGUGACUUGUAACCCAAUGGAGCUAGCCCCGUGCUCCGCUGCAAUCAUGUCCUCGAACUCUCCCACCCCCGUGUGUUGCAAAAAACUCAAGGAGCAGAGCCCUUGCCUCUGCCAGUAUGUGAAGAACCCCAACCUCCAGAGGCUUGUCAACUCCCCAAACGCCAAGAAGGUCGCCGACACUUGCGGUUCUCCAUUCCCCACAUGCUAAUCUCUUUUUUUUUUUUUUGGUUGAACACAUGCUAAUCUCUUUGAUUAAGCUUGAUUAGCCCUUAAUCUCAGCUACCACGUUCUUAUUUAUCAUCUUAAUUAUCAGCUGCUAAUAGCUAAUAGUAGUGGCGUUUGUGCUUGUGGGAGAUGGAUUUAUCAUGAAUUUCAAAGUUGUUUGUGAAGAAGCCUUGAACUUGAAGGUAUAUUAAUCAAGCUUUUUACUACAUUUAUUUUAUUUUAGAUGGAGUUUUACAUACUCCAGCAUAAAUAUCCAGCUCAUUGAGCUCAAGAAACUUGAUCUAAUUUUCUUUAAAAAAAAACAGACUUCAACGAUCCGUUGCUAAAGAAAGCAUUCAGAUUGAUUCACUGAUUCGUUGAUAAAAAAAAGUAUAAAAUUCAAUCCAUGUAAAUAGCACUAUUGAUUCCUUUUAGUUAUGCAUUUUCACUUGUAGAUGAGAAGUUUUAUGUUUGAUUCUCGCCAAAAGAGAAUUCGUAUCAAAUUAUUAUAGCUAACUUAUUGUGAGGCUUAGCCCAUUGUCCUUCCGUUAAUGUAAAUAAUAUCGUAUGUAUUAAAAAAAGCACUAUUGAUAAAUGUGAAUUAAGCUAGUUGGCAAAAACAGCGUACCCAUGAUUUUAUACUUGAGUUUGAAACUUUCAAUUUUCUUUUCGCAGUAUAUCACACUAGAGAGAGAUGAUAAAUUUUUAAAUCCCAAUUGUUUGAAUGACAAUUUUUUAGUAUGUGAUCGAUAUUUGAUAAUUAUGUCGUUUAUAUUUGAUCGAUAUGUUGUCAGAUAUUUGUUAUUGAUUGGUUUAUCAAUUGAAAUUCAGUUUCUGAUUGUCAAAAACAACGGUCCCCUAGAGUUACUUCUCUGAUUACAAUUUUUUAUUGGGUGCUCUUGCCUGAUCCAAAGAACCAAAGGUUCUAAAAUGCGCUAAUCGGACAGCGAACAUGGAUCUUGUCUAGGCAGGUCUAGGCAUUAUAUAUUAAUUUUCAAACCUUUAGGAAUUAAUCGGGACGGUGGCCAGCUGCAUAUAACACAAAGGCGGAAAUUUUUAUAAUAGUGUUGCAUAGAUAUUUAUAUACCAAAACACAACGUACAUAUGCAUACCACAAAUUCAGAAGAUUGAAGUCAAGAAAAAUGGAAAAUCAACUAAAAAAAGUUGGGGAAUAUAUCUGAUUGGGGAAUUUAUACUUCCACUUCUAACAUAUAUAUGAUGACAUAGCAUAUACAAGUCCCUAGCUCAUUUCAUAUUUUGCUCCAACCAUUUCUUCCCCUCGAUCGACAAAAGCCGCCACAACUGCGGAACUGAUGAUCUUCUCAAUCUCAUACCACAAUCACCGACCCCGCAAAAGAACGAACCUAAUAGCAGAAUUAUACCUUCUGAAAUCCACUGGUUUGUUGUUCAUGCUGCUCGUGCUGCCCGUAGUUAGAACUGCUCAUGUCAAGGCCUUCGUUUCGGUGCUUCUCCCAUCCCCCAGUAUCAGCUUUGGAAUGCGCCCAGUAAAGACUUGACCCUGCCAGUGACAACAGCGUAAGAGCAGCGCCGGCGGCAAACACGCCCUUGCGCAGAGUAGCACAGGACAAGUCAUCUACUUUGAAGAUUCCCCGGUACUUGGUGUGGUAUGCAUUCUUUGCCGACCCAGCCAACAAGCACGCCUCCGCUCCCAAAAAGGUUGUCCUGAUUAAUUCACAGUUCAGAAGCUUCAGAUUUUGGUUUUAGCAAAACCAAGCAAAUGGGAUUGCCAUUUACACAAACACAAUGCUAGAGAGUAGAGAACAACGUUCACUCAAGGAUGGGCAUGUUUGGAAGUGCUUUUAAAAUGACUGAAAAUGCUUUUGGUGAAACUGUUUUUGGGUUCCAAUAGCAAUUGAAAUGAUUUGUUCAGGAAGAUUUACUUGUAUUUUUACUAAGAAUCAAUUCCAAAAGCACUUUCAUCAAAGUACUUUUAGUCAUUUUAAAGCCUUUUCAAAGGAGUCCUAAGCACACAACCACAAGCAAGCAGUUAGAUCAUCCAAAGGAACACCAUACUAAAGUGAAUUAGCUACUUUGACUAUUUCUAACUAGGGUGGAAGGAUUAAGACCGUUGAUCAAAUCAUCAAACCGUGAUUAAGAAAUUAAAAAUGAUUAGAGUAAAUUGUAGCAAUAGUCCUCAAUUUUAAUCAAAUUGAAGUAAUAGUUCCUUAACUAAAAAUCCAUUAUCAUUGGUUCCUUAACUCAUCAAAAUGGAUAGCUAUAAUCAUUUUCUUCAACUUCAUUAGAAUUUUGUCAAAAUAAGUUAUGUUGGACGGACUAUUGCUACAAUUGAGGUUCAUCAACUCAUCAAAACGUGUAGAUAUGAUCAUUUCCAUCAACUUCGUCAGAAUUUUAUCAAAAUGAGUUAUGUUGAAAGAACUAUUGCAACAAUUAAGUUAAAAUUGAGGGAUCAUUGUUCUAAUUAAUUUAACGUUGAGGUCCAUUUCUCCAAUUGGACUAAAGUUGAGUAACGAUAAUGAAUUUUUAAUUGAAUGACAUUUUUUGAUGAGUUGAGGAUCAAUGGUAAUAAAUUUUUAAUUUAUGGACUAUUAAACCAAUUGAGUUAAAAGUUGAGGGAUACCAGUUACUCAAAUGAUUAAAGAGAGGGGAAAAAAUGGGUAAAAAUUACCAGGAGAAGACGAAGAAGAAGACGGUCCAAGUGGUGGAGGAGCCAGUGACUAGACCUUUGCCGCAGCAGAGACACCUGGUGACGACGUUAAGCACCGUCUGGCUGACGGCAAGCAGCCCAAACGCCGCUAGUCCGUACACCGUGGAGGCAUCCGUGCCGUACACGCAGUAGGUACGCUCGUCGUACUCAUCGGGCACUAUCUUCGCCUGAUUCACAGACACAAACAGUUACAGUUAGGGAUUGAAGAAGGACUUAAAUAUAAAAAUUAAAACUUCGAACAGACAGACAGAGGGAGAUGGCGGUGGAUACCGUGCUACGGCGUCGUUCGGCGCCGACGGCGAAGAUGAAGGCGAUGAGAUGGAGGGAGGUAACGAUGGCGACUAUGGGUAUCGAGACUGCCAUUGUUGUCUCUCGCUCUCUCAGUGGGGAGUGUGUGGGGUUGGUACAGAGAAAUCUCUCUCUGCUUUUGAAAGAAAAAGUCAAGAAAUUUGGGCAACUUUCUUUUUCUUUUGUUUAUUUUUUGGUUUGGGCGAAUAAAAAUGGGGAAAUUGUCGCGGCUUAGCUUGCGUUGGAUUUGAUUCCUACACUUUGAGUUGCAUACCGUCAUUAAUUUAUUAAUUUGUAGAUUAAAUAUAUAAAUUAAAUGAUAUAUUAUUAAUAAAAGAAAGAUUCAAUGAUUAAUUUUUAUAUUAUUUAGUUUACAAAAUUAUAAUCAGAUUUAAUCUCUUUAGUUUUACUCGGGUUUCAAGUUUUAACCUUUUUCAAAUAAGGAGUAACUCUAACUACUUUAUUGAUAUAAGAUUUAUUUUCAACACAUUUUCUUACGUACGGUAAAUUACUAAAUUUAAUAUAUAAACAACACAAAUCUGAUAACGUAAAGUACGUAUGGCCGUUCUCGACACAUGUAACAACAUGUUGAAGGAAUUGUAUUUCACAUCAUUCGGGUGUGAAAUUAAAUUGGGUUAUUCGACUCUUUAUAUUUAAAAGAGGGAAAAAAAAAGAAAAAAAAAAAGGAAGAGGACCCAUCUAAAGUUUGUCUUCAAGUGUGGUGGUGGAUGUGGGACCGUUUUAUAACAUGUAUCCAGAUAAUAAUUUUGGACAGAUUGCAAUAGCGCUGGUGGGAUUGUCGGAUUGCCAGCUUCCCCGGUUGUCUUACCGGAAAUAGCAGGUCACCCUUUUAAAUCAGGACUUGAAUUCUCUGCCCUCCUAUUUCGGUGCCCUUCUCGUACCCUCCUGUUUUGUGUGGUCACGGUUAAUCCAUGCUAAUAUUUUAUAUUAUUUUUUAUAAAAACAAUAAGACAAAAAAAAUAAUAAUAUAAAAUAUUAAUGUGAUUUAACCGUGACCACACAAACAGAAGAGCACGAAAAGGGCAUCGAAUUAGAAGGGCAGAGAAUCCAUAUCCUUUAAAUCAUGGGGGGUUGGAUGCUGAUUGAUCCGCUGCCCAAGACACUGUCCACAUCACUAAACCUGCAAAGACUUAACUAAUCUCAACAACUACCAACCCCCUCUUGGCCUAACACUAAUAAACAGCAGCCCAUCCCAUAUUAGGCCUUUACUAUAUGUUAGAUAUGGUAUGGGCCAGCAUUGUGUGCCUUUCUAAAGAAACCCACCACCAGUGAAACCCCACAAAUAAGAUAGAAGCUUAUAAAUAUUUUAGCGUUUCAAAAACACUCACAUACUUCCUGCAAAAAGAACCGGUUAUAUACUUCUUACAUGAUUCACUUGAAGCGCUUCUCCAAAAGAAACUUGUAUUUUUACUAAAGAUUGGUUCGAAAAACAUUUUCGUACAAGAGUGACUGGUGUGAUAUCAAGUGAAUACGGCACCAAGCUUGCAGCAGCAAGAGAAAAGGCUGAAGCAGAUGGGGGCAACAGUAAGAAAUGCUUCUGCACGCGUCAAACAACUGAAGAUGAGCGAGCAGAGGGAGAAAGUUGCCAAGGCCAUCAUCGCCACGAUUUGGAGACCGAGUUUCAUGACCUGCUGCUUAAUAACGAUGCUGGUUAAUUCCUCCUCACUCGCAUUUUCUUAUGAAAGAAACGCAUGCCCUACAAAUCUGAGCUUAAAAACUCUUCUUCCAACUCCCCAAACUCGAUUUCAUUUAGCAAGAGAAACAGAUGACAAACCAGACAGAUAACCGCGGUAGCGCGCUUAAAGCGUUACAAUUUCCGAAUUUCACAAGAACGUCAACUUAAUCAUCAGCCAACAACUAACCAAAUCCCUCAAUACAUUUCCAUCAUUUGAUGCAGUUAAAUAUUCAAUGAAACGGAUGCCAUUCAGAUAGAGAUAGGGAGAAGUCAAAAACUAACACUUGCAAUUAUGUCUACAUCAAAAUCCCCUUGUAGAUAGGAAGGAUUACAUACUAAUAAUUAACAUAUCAUAUCAUGGCAUAAAAAAGAGCCUGGUUUUUCUCUCUUAUAUUUAACGUACUCUUGUUACUACCAACAAAAUACAGCGGAAACGAGCAAACAUCAAAAGCAGUAACUUUCAUUUAGAGCUAGACCUUCUGUAGAUUAUCUAACUAUAUUUUCCUUCUAUUCACUGUUUACUGAGCCUCUCUCAUCUCAUGCCAAAAGCUCACUUUUCUUCUGUGGGUUACCCUUCAUCCUUUUCUUUCUUUUUUCGUUUUCCUUUUCUUUUCUUUCUCCGGUAGUAAAUAACAGAAAACCAAACGACAGAAUCACCGCACACCAACUUGCCACCAAGAGUUCAACAAAAUAAAGACUUUUCACAAGUAACCCGUGCAAACAGGCUUCACUUCUAUAACGGUGGUAGUAGCAUCAUAGUUAGCAUCAUCUUGAUAUCAUCUGCGGCUAAAAAACAGAAAAUCUGGGUGAUUGACCUGAUGCCUUCUUAGAAAGUCGUCAGCGGCCUGCAAAAGAGAGCUGGCUAACUGGCGUUCAGAUCCACCACUCGGCGUCCACAAGGAACCUCUGAAUUUGUAUGAUGCAAGGCCAAAAGCAGGUAACGACAUCUUAGGGGCACCGUCCAUGUCACUUGGAUAUGUCAAUACAGGAGCACGGUCAUCUUGUACACCUGAAACAUAAUCAACAAAGAGACAAGAUGAUCAAACACCUCCCAGAAUAGAUACAAAUCUUAUAAAUGAUUCUAAAGCAAACAACUAUCACAGCUAAAAUCUAGUCAUACUUCACACGUAAUGAAGUCAUCCUCGAUAUCUGUCUACCAGAUUGCAUGUCCAUUUUGAUAUGGAACAUGCAUGCAUGUACGGGGGAUAAGACAAGAUUAACUUGGGCAUUAUGCAGAUAUCAGCAUAUGCGGUGCACUGACAAUAAUUUUCUUUAAUCAACAAUGCAAAAUGCCCAUAUGCAGUAAAUGCUAAAAUUAAAAGACAAUCUAUAAGAAAAUCAAUCAAUUACAUAAGUAGUUACAGAAAUAUAUAUUUCCUUAUCUAAGUAUGCUCUAUGAAUAAAAGAUAUAUGAUCAGAUCAAAGCACCAAACGAAACAAUGUGGCAUCUCACACUAUGACGUAUGAUUAAAACUAUAAAAUCAGACCAAAAUCCCAAAAGUAUCAAUUAUGCAGACCAAAAGUCAGGGAACAAACUUUCACCCUAAGCAAAACUAACAGAACUAAGAAUUACCUCUCAUAGGUGUACAAAGUGAAUGGUACGUUAGAAAGCACGCAUCAAGAUCCUUUAAAGUUGGUCCUGUUGGAAUCCUAUAUAUUGGAUACCUGAAAAGGUCACACCAAAACCAAUUAGUCACACGACAGUGUACAAACACAACAACAACAACAAAGCCUUUUCCCACUAAGAGAUUUAUAGUACCAUGCAACAGAUAUCCAGCUGGUUGGCAGUAUAUCACAGCUUCUUAAUAUCUUUAGCUCAGGAAAAUGGAUCGCAAGAUCUAGUAUCUGUGGAAAGGGAAAGUUCAGAACAAAACCCAAAAAAAGGGAAGUCAUAAAUACCAAGAUACAUUACUAUUUGUUCAAAACAAAAUAACAAGAUUAGAGAGAAAUGAAAUUAUAACCUUGUCAGCUAAAGGCUCACGGCAAUAAGGAAGGUCCCGUUCAAAAUACUCAAACAGUAAGCAACCUUGAGAAUUUAUAGAUUCGCCCUCAUCACUGGAGCAGUCUUCGUGGGGUGGUAAAUGUGGGUCUCUCAAAGAUAAUCUUUCUAUCGUACGAGGAAUUUCACAAGACAGAAUCUGGUGAUUCCGCUGCUCCCUCAGAUAUUUUAGUCUAUCAGUUUCGUAAUCACAGCUACCGUCACUGCUAGAAUCCCUGAAAUCACUAUCACUGUCCUCAUCUGGUCGCCUAUCAAUAAACAAACAUCAAACUUUGAAUAACAAAUGAAAUAAUUCAUUCCAGUUUAAGUAAGCAAAUGUGCAAUAUUCAGUAAACAAUGAUUCUGUUAAUAAGUACAGAUUCUGAUGCAAAGAGUAGACAAUCAUAGUAAUCCAUGAAACCCAUUUCCCAUAAGUGCACACGCCAUACCAUCAAGAACAACAAUAAAUUCGUAUUCUGUUUUAGAUUUACCUCCGAAUACAUGCUGGAUAAAAUACAUUUUGCAGAGAUAUAACAGUACACUUAUCCAGCAGACAAAAAUUUGGGUAAUCACUGAUUCACUACCAUGAAGAAAAUACAAACACUGCAUGCGUGUGACUAUAAAUCAACUAGAACUAAAUCGAAAUUAUUCUGAACAACGAAACAAAUGAUUAUCGAAUUAAGUCAAAAGUAUGGAGUAAAAUGUAAUACCUUGUCUUCGUUGCCAAUUUCGCAGAGUGGCCGUAUAUUUGAAUGCCGGACAAGUAAGGGACGUAGUACUGAACUACAGAGUCACUGUCAUUCAAAAUCAGAGGCACUCCUGCACCAUAAGCACUCCACUCCUUGAAGGACUCCCAUAAAUCCCCAAGAACAAAGUAUGGCUGAUAUUCCACGUCGCAUGUACUCAAUCCUCUCAUCGUCCUCUGCAACCAAACAAUUAUUAGAAGAUCAACAAAAAAACAAAAACCCAAAAAGUUAAACAAAUUAUAUUCAAGCAAACACCUUGGAAAGGCACUGGGCCGGGACGGACGGAGAGAUCGACCGCAAGAACCGCUGGAGAUUACUCAAGGGCUUCACGACGGGCUUCACGACGGGCUCAAAAGCAGGCACGGCGAUGGGCUUGGGCGGCUCAUCAGACCCGGUCCGGUUCUCCGGCUCCCGGUUGGGGUUACCCUUCAAGGAAGGAGAUGGGCUGGGCGUGACGUCGCUCUGAGCUCUGCAAAGUUGCUCCGCCUUCUGGUUCUGGUGGGCCCUACGAGCUCUCGCCGGGUUGUAAAAUCGAUCCUCUCCUCGGCCGCGCGUGAACGGCAAUCCAGUACUCAACAUCACGUGAACGGCGAAUCAGAAACUUGCUCUACCCUGAAUCCGGUCCCCCUCUGCGCGCAGAGCGUCUUAAACUCUGAAACAGAGUCAACGGGAUUGGAACAAAUCAAGAACAACUGGGCGACGGUAUUUAGCGGAUCGGCGCCUCUAGGGUUUGUCAAAAUUAGGGUUAAUCGAGAACAAUUGGGGCAAUCGGAUCGGCAGAAACGACAAGAGUUGCAGGGGCUGAGUCGGAACAGAAAAACCCUAAAAUGGAGGCUGUGACUGAAAUGGAUCUGGCGGAAGAAGAAGAUGAUGAUAUGGGGUAGGUUUUGAGGGGCAAUUUGGUAAAAUAAGAGGGGAAAGGGAAGCGAUGGGAGGAAGACGAAAGAAAGAAAGCAAACGGUGAAGCAGGUUCUGAAUAAAUGGAUGGGUACCGCGUAGGGGUAGGAGAAGAACAAAAUUAUUUUUUUAUUUUUUUUAAAAUCUUUAUUGUUAAAUAUAAAUAAUUAAAAAUCAAAUUACCAACAACUUUGGGCGCCCAAGGCUUAAUGCGAUAGGGGCACUCAGUUUGUAAAAUUACAAUCUUGUCUUUUGUUGAACAUGGCUGUGAAGCUUUCAAAUUUAUGGUUAGUCAAGGGCAAUUGAGGUAAUUUGAGUGUGUGUGGGAGUGCGGGUAUCAAUGGGCCAUGAUUUGAGCGUUAUCUAAUGACGGAAUGGAAAAGAUUACUAAACAGGGUUGCGAUUGGUGGCAUGGAGGCCACACGGAUCGGUGAUUGAUGUGAGGGACCUAGCUGCUGACACGUGUGAUGGAGGGAAACGUUGAACACGUGUAUGGCGGGAUUCGCCCUGCUGAGGGGAGCUGUCUUUUUCCUUCUUAUCCGCAUUCGACUUUCUCAACUCAGAGCCACGACCUUUUGGAAGCGUGAGGUUACGCGCCUCUUAGGACUUUUCCGCAAUAAUUGCCACGUUCUAAUAUUUUUAUUUUAUAUUUUCGCUUUGGGAGGGUUAUCUUUUUUAUAUUGUAUUUUUAUCUUGUUUGUGCUGUCAUGUCGCUUCAGAAUUCCCAAAACUAAAUAUUGAUUUUCUUUUUCGUUGUAGACAAGUGUCGGUCACGUGAUAAACAUGAUAGGAAAGAUGCCUUCACGUGCUUGAUCGUGUCUACGUUUUUAGAUCGAGAAUUUUAACGAAACACUCAUUGUUUUAUUUUUAACGAAAAAUUAUAUUUUUACCUUUUCUUGAAACUAAUACACCUUCAUUUGUCAUUUUUCAUUAAAAUAAAAGAUUUUUUUGAAUUUUUUGUUAGUUUUUCUUUUUUAAUUUCUUUUUAUGCAAGUGCCAUAAAAACAAAGGAAAGCAACGAAUUCCAAAAGGGUUUAAGCAAAAAGAAAUGCUACUUUUUAUUAAUUUUAUUUAUAUUUAUAUUUUUAGUAUAAUAUUUUAUAAUAUUAAUAAAAACGUUAAACUUAAAGUAUUCGUUCUUAUGGCGAAUAUUGAGAUUUUGACAUUCUAAUUCUUUCAUCGAAUGCAAAUAUAAUCGUGCACCUUGAAAAGUGUAAUUUUUCAUUUAUAUUUUUACAAGAAAGUAAACAAAUCUAUUUCUUAAAAAUAGUCAAUAUAGUUGUUCAAGCUUUCUUAAUUGUUCAAACUUGCUAUUAAUCUUUUGAUCAAAUCUCUCAACGUACCAUGUAAUUUAAGGAUACUAUUAACACACAGUCAUUGCAUAUGACCAAUUUUUAUGAUCACAUGAUGUACAAUUUCACAAUAUUAUAAUAUUGUGAGAUAUAAUUGGUGAUGUAAAAUUUCAAUCUUGUUCGACUUAACCGGAGAACGAAAAUUGCUCCUUACAUAUUCAUAAGCCUCCCAAACCCACCAACUGGUCAAGCCCCCCACAAACACAGUUGGAUCUUAUCAUAUUAAAGGUGUGUCUAAUUCCAAUACGUACUUUGACUAAUUAUUCAAUUAGCAAUUUCGAUUUGUUACAACAUCUUCCGAAUCUUGUUAUAUAUUUAUUAAGAUUUAAUUCCUCAAGAUAUUCAUGUCUUUUUUCCUGAUUAAUAAAAUGGCUUAUUGUCAUGGUUAUGUUAACCAAAUUGUAUUAAUUAAUUAUUUGUAUAAUCUUCCUCCACAAAAAGGUUAUCCAUUCAUUGUCGUUUCCCCACAAAAACAUCUACUAAACGUGUCAACAACAUCUUCCUACAAUACAAAUCACGACUCGAUACACCAAAUGUGAUAUAACAUUUGGUGUAUUGAAUGUAGGUGCUACCAUUGUACAGCACUUUGAUGGCAAAUUAACUUUGAAAAAUAUAAUUACCGCAAGUAAAAGCAGACUAGAUUUGUACUGGACCAAAACUCUAAUAUAUAAUUACUGCAAGCACGGACCACACACGAAGGGAUAGAUCUUGUUCACGAAUUACAUUACAUGACAAUAUAGAUUAUAAAAGCUUGUAGCCAAGAGGAACCUACGUGCAACCGAGACAUCAAGAUGGUGGUAUCUCAAGCCUAUCACAUGCCGCCGUGUGUUUCAACUUGCCAACAUGUCAACAUCGCCUGCUGCGUUUGGGAUACCACCACCUUAGCGUCUCAGUUCCACGUAAGUUCAUCGCUUUGUACAGAGCUCCUUCACUUGUAUGAUAUGCUAGCAAACUGUAACAAAAUAGCAAAAGAGAGUACGCAUUUCAUGGCAUGCCUGCCCCAGAUAUGCUUAACUUACAAGUUACUUCUUUCAUCUAAGAGCCAGAUUCCUACAGCACCACCAUUGGGGGGCAGUGAACCAAACAGGCGCCCAACAGUCUGUAUUGCCACGGAACCGAAAAUUCUCUUGAUUGUCGUCGCCAAGCUUGAACACACCCCAAUCCCUUCUGUCUGGGUCAAAACGAGCUGGAAUUCCAUAAAGAUGACUAGAAUCCCAUUCAUUCCACCACGGCGCAGCAUGAUCAUUAGAGAAGUAGAUACGGUUUGUCAUUGGAACACCAAGUUCACCCGAAGAAACAGAUCGCGAACAACAUUUUCCUAGAAAUAGUACUUGAUCCCCCAAAUCAUGUACCCUCUUCCAUGCCAUCUGGCUGAAAUCCAGCUUAUAUACUUUGAAAUCGUGUGUUUCAAGAAUAGCAUUGGGUUUGGUGCUAUAAAACCUACAAACAAGGAGAAGCUCUCCACAAGAUUCCACAAGGAACUUCAGCACAGUGUAAUUUUCCUGCUCGUCUUCCUGCUCCUCGGACAUUUUUACUUCAUGGCAACCUGUUUCUAUCUCACAAUCAUCAUCUGUUCUGAUGGCAGCAAGCACAUCAGUAACCUUAAUCUGUGAAAUGUUAUAAUCACUGCUUAGAAGAUAGAAACUUCCAUCUGAGAAGACAGCAUCCUCAAACGGUUCACCAUCUAGCCUAUGUUUAAGCCAUGAUUGAGCUCCGUGGACACAAAAUGCAAGCUCCCGGUGUUGACCAUGGACAAGCAUGCAAACAAAGUUUUCAACAGAAGGAAGUGCUGAGAGAACCAUCUUGUGAUAAAAAUUCCAUGUUUUGGGAAGAUCAGUUUUCUUCCUAGAGAAUGGAUUCAACAAGCUAAUCUCAAGGUUGAAACAAUCGACAUCUUUCACUAGAAUCAACCAAUCUUGAUAUGAUCCCCAACAGUAUCUUCCAAUAGCCUGAGGAAGCACCAUCUCCCAAUCUUGAUUCUGUAAUAUGCUAAGACAAGUCCUUACAUGUCUGUCUUUCUCACCACACAUCAUGAGCCACGGGACACCACGCCUUUGCCAGCAAGAAAGUUCCUGUCCAAUAACGUUGCUCCAAGCUCUGCAAACAUCACUAACAGAGAUACAAUCAAUCAGAGGCAGUCGCUCAAAGAUAAUCUCAAGUAUACUCUGUGGCAGCUCUGCCCAAUCCACAUUCAUAAGCUUCUCCUUCUUCCGCCUUUUAUUUCUCCUUCGACCCAUCGUGCAGCUCUAUGACUCUACAGAUAGCAAAUAAUAGUGCAAAUACAACAUCAAAAAGGUGUAAUAAUUACAGCAAUAAUCUGAUGAGACACAAACUCCUUUAAAAAAGCUGAGUGCGGAAACAAAAUUUUUACGACAAUAUAAGCUUAAUUCAACAGUUAAAAUGAUCAGACAACUAAAAAGAUCGACAUAAUUUAAGGGGUGAACAUGAUCCCCAAUCAGUGCAAAAGGAUAAUAAACUGCAUGCCAUAUUUUGUUUAUUCUCAGGAGUACACGGGAUUGUCAUCUAGCAUUUACGUAGCAGCACCUUGAAAUAAACAUAACAUUCAAAUUCGAUGUAUAACACAUGUGGAUAGAAAAAUCAUAUAUUUUGUGAAGUAAAAUAACUCCCUUACUACCUUGUAACAUGCCAUCUUAUCAGUUCAAAAUCAAAUUGGAAAAAACUUUAUAGAUAAUCUUUACAGCUUUACAGGUAAAUCUCAAAAGUUGGGACGCCAUGUUUGACUACAGCAGCAGUAAUUGUUCCUCAGAGUCUAGCACUUGACGCAAACAAAUAAAAUGAUUGCCGAAACAAAUAAAAGCACGGACACUGAGACAUACAAACAAUCAAAAGAAUGCAAGCCCGAUAAGUGAUAUCUGCAAGAAGGAUGCUGUAUAUUUUAUCAACAUUCUCAAUUUCUUAGUUAAACCCACGAAUACGAAGAUUAUCUUUUACUACGAUUCCACAAGCAAAUAGCCAUAACAAUCAAACUGCGUUCGCCGUUAGUUAACCAACAAAGAAUCGUUCCUAUGAGUUCAAAAAAUUGCAAAAAAGGGCAUGAAUCCAUGAUCAAUCACAGAAACAAGUGCUCCGAUCAAAACCCCUUUUAAUAAAGUUGGAAGCUUUUUAGGUGUUGAGUGCAUUUUACUUAAUACCCAAUUCUUGCAUGCAACAAUUAAAAGCUAUAUUAACUCCCUAAUCAGUUCCUAACCCACCAAAUCAUUCCAGAUUUUACAAUCACAAAAUAUCCUCCUUCCUUCAAAGCACACAGAUACAUACGUACGUACAUACAUACAUACAUACAUACAUACGUAUAUUUAUAUAUAUAUAUAUAUAUAUAUAGUUUUCUGGCAUCCAGUAAAUGCAUUAGCUUCUAGUAAUUUCGAAGAAAAGGAACCAAAACUUCACCAAAAAAUAAAAGGAAAGAAAAUAAUGAGUGAAGUGUGACAAGUAAAAAGAAGGGAGAAUCCACUUUACCAAACGACGCCCAGGCGUUGGACACGAACGGAUAAAAUCAGAAGGAAAGUUGCAUGCACAGGUUUUUAAAGGAAUAAAACGGUAGUCGUUCAGCGGAAACUCACCGGAGCGGAAGGAUCCACAGAGCAAGCGGAGGAGCUGCUUCAGCUGGAAAGAAGUCUCUGGAAGAAAUUGUAAAAUACCGAUUCGUCUUCUUCCAAUCAAAACGGUGACGUAAGGUUUGAUUCCUCGUUUCGACUCAAAUAUUGUCUGGGUCGGGUCAGGCCCAAUUUGGGUCUCUAAAACGAGACAUGUAGCGGUCCAGUUUAGCCCGUCUACUUGUCAGUUUUUGGUUGGGAUUGGUGGCCCAGCUUACUUUCAAACCAACGAAAAAGCCCAUUUGACUCUCUUUAUUUAAGGUAAAAUAGAAAAAUAAUUUAGAGAGAAUUUAAUGGGAACUUUAACGGAAAAACUUUUGAUAUUGUUCACUUUAACGAAAAAUCAUAUUUUUAUAUUAAAAAGUCAAUCAUGGUACUAUUCACUUGACCUUUUAUUUUAUCCUUAUCGUUAAAACUCAAAGUUUUCAAACCCUUUUCAUUAAUUUUCCUUCUUUUUUUUUGGUCAAAAAUUUAGGGAGAAAUUAAAUAUGCCCUCUUGAAUUUAUGACUUUCUUCCAUUUUAUCACACUUUUUGUAGUUAUCUUUGUUUGAAUAGACGAGAAUAACUCGCAAUUUAAGACAAGGGCAAAACAACACGACGUAGACUAAAUUGAAAGUUUAAGGUCCCGCUUAGCAGUAUUAUUUGACUUAACUCAAAUUUUAUCGUAUUCAGUAUAAUACGUAUAAAAUGUAAAUUUAAAAUUGAAAGUGCAAAUUGAAAUAAGGGGCUAAAUUCAGAGAGAUUUUUUAGUGUGUUCAGAAUACAUAGCACAACACCACUUGUUAUUGUACAAUUAAAGGAACAUUUGAAAAGAAAAAAAAAAUUCUCCAAUUAUAUAACAACAUGUUGUGUCCCACCCGAAAUUCAAAGUGCAAAUUGAAAUAAGGGGCAAAGUUCAUUGCGGUAAGCUUAAAGUUCCCAAAAACAUCAAUUUCCAUGAGCUAGUUGGCGCCUAUUUUCAGUAGAAGAUUCCACUUCCCACUUGGACGAAGGUCCAUUUUUAGACCUUGACAGAGAUAAAAGUUGGGCCAAAACGCAUGAAGCCAGACAUUUGAAGAAACACAGGCACGUCAAGAGAAAGAGGUACAACAUCAUCAAACCUUGAAUCUUUAAUUGCCCUUGUAGUUGUCUUCUUUAUUCCAAAUGGUCGGUCUGAAUUGGGCGGGUCCUUUAAGGGAAAGAGGAAAAUAAUAAUUAGUUGUAUGACUCAUUCUACAUAGAAAUUCAACUAUCUGAAUGUUUAUUUUGUAAGUCUCGAUUCAUAGAUCAUCAUUGAAAAAAUUUAGUUUAAUCCGAAAUCAUUUGACUAUUUAAUUGUCACAAUGAAAUUUCAUUGUUUCUGAACAAUGAGUUCAAGUUAGACGUAUUAAAUAUUUUCGAUUUGGCUAAUAUUUUACAAAUAUAAUCUAAAAAGUGCAACUUAAAAAAUAAACGGUUCAAAUUAUUGAAAUUCGAUAUAGUCUGAGUCCCAUAACGAAUCUCUAUUGUAAAAAAAAGGGGAAUGCCCUUCCUUAAAGAGAUGCUUUUUAUUCUCUUCUAUUUUCCCAAAAGCUUCGACGGGAACUAAUAUCUCACAUUAUCUAAACUAGUCAGUGUUGCGAGAAAAACUUGUAUAGAAAUAUUUUGUUACGUUAUUCGUAGAAUAUAUUUUAUAAAGUAAAAUACAUGGGUCUGCACUUUAUGUAACAAUUGUUUCAGUUCAGCGCUACCAAAUUCUAUGUUGGUAUUGCUGACAAUUUGGGUCUUGUACUUCAAGUAUUUUUAUAUUAUAGCAUAUAGCAUUUUUCACGGUCAAGAUAACAUACUAUAAUAUAUUAUUAAGAGGAGGGGUAGGAUUUGAUAUUAUUAUAAUAAUUUAAGGAUGGAAUAAUUUGAAACUAUUACAAUAACUUAUAAAAGGUAGGUUUUUUAACCCGGAAUGCAUGAGUGGAAACCAACACCAAUUGUUUAGACCAGAUUUGCAAACUAUGUAAUGUGUCACUAAUAGAAAAUAAGCACGUUAAUCAACAAUUAAGUAAUAAUUUAAUUAUCAGCAUCCAUAUCAUAUGUUUUACAAAAUUUAGUCUAAAUAAUUGGUCUCAUUACCCUUUCACUGAGAUAUUGGACAACGUGCUUAAAAACGAAAUAACUCGUAUAUAUAGAGUAAACCCCACAAAAAUUAAAAUAGUCGGUUUAAAUUAUUAAAAUAUACAAAAUAAACCUCAUAAAAAAUAAAUGGUGAUAUGAAUAUGCUCUUAUUGACAUACCCCAUCCCGAAGGAGGGCAUGCUGGCCGUCACGUGAGAGUGACGUAACCAUUUGCACAGUACGGAAGCUUUAAGAUACAAUUUAAGUUGAUACACCCGAAGGUGAGUCCUAAUUUUGUCCAAUCUGUCAGAACACCGUCGAAUUCCUCGUAGUCACCACACCUUUGUGAUUCCUGAACCUGGAGGGGCGCAAAACCAAAAUUGAGUGGGUCAGUAAAACAAUUCUUUUCCAAAUCCAAACAAUUUUCAAAACGUUGUAACCCCUCUCCGUAAAACCUGUAUAUUUUCCCAGAAAUGUAAAAUAUAAAUAUACAUAUAUAUUCUCAAAACUUCAAGUCGUUAACUCAACAUUUUUCAUAACAAUUAUGCCAUGCCCACAUCAUCUCAACAUUUCUCAUAUUAAUUAUGCCAUGCCACAUCAUCUCAACAGUAAUAAGGUAUGAAUGCAUCAACAUAAUCAUAUCAGGUGCAAGAAAGUAAUCAACCGUAGGCCCUCUAAUAGCCCUGUACGGUUGAACCUAGAGCUCAAAAUCUAUCAUUAUCACUCUACCGGAGUCACCUCUGUGACCCGUCCGGCCUUCUGCACACAAGUUACGCUCUAGUGCUUCUCAUAAGUCAUCUGUGCACAUAAUCUAAGGUCACCCACCAGUCGGAAUCUCACUAACACUCUCGCGACUGGUCUGUCGUACCCACUCCGCGUGGACUGUACGACUAGCAUCUACUUGGAUCCAAGGCGAGCGUGCGAUGCGGUGAAUACUAUAAGCACUAAACCAUGGUGCAGGAUUUGAGCUCAAUAUAUAUCAUCAUCAUAAUAACAGUAAUUAAAUUCUUACCUGUGCGUCCACCGCACCAAUUCAUACAUAUGCAUCAUAAAUCAAUUCUUACCUGUGCGUCCACCGCACCAAUUCAUACAUAUGCAUCAUAUAUUAAUUCAUGCAUGGCAUUUCAACUCACAUUUCUAUAUACUUUUCAUAUCAAUUCUAUGCAUGGUAUUUCACUUCCCGUUUUUCCACAUAACUCAUAUGCAUUUCAUUUUAAACAUAUUUUCAUUUCAAUUCAAUUUCUGGGAAACGUCAAGUAUAUAUAUAUACGGAAACAAACUGCCCACUCACCUGGAGUUCGCCCUACAACUCCCUAGCACAAUACGCCAAGGCGUCAUGACGAUCGCCGCCUAGAAUAGUAAUCAAAUCCAGGCUCAGAAUUCAUAUCGAUAAAAUAUAAUAACUUAUAUAAAAUACGUCACUACGUAGUUCGAUCCGGAAGAUCUGCCACUCAGAUUUUAAAUCCAUAACUUCCAGAGGUCCACAAUAUAUCUCUAGGAUAACAUCCUAAAAUUUCAUUACCAUCCAACGGUUGGAUCUCCGUCAAUUUCCAAAACUAAGUGACGGUUAACAUUUUAUAUUAUGGACUUACAAUUCCAAUUCCGGAAGAUCCGUAACUCGGAUUCCCAAUCCGUAAGUUCCAAUAAUCCUCAAAUAUUACGUAUUACAACGUAUCAAAGUUUGGUGACAAUCCAACGGUCGGAUCAUCAAUUCACAUUUUCACCAAAACUAUAAAACGUUAUUCGAACACCUAACCAACAAUCCUUAAUAACUUUCUCAUACGGUGUUCAAUUUAGGUAUAUGAAUAUACCACAGUGAUCUACUCGACGUCACGGACGUCGACAUAUUUUUAAAAUAUUUUAUUUUUAUUUUUUAUUUUACUGUAGCACCAUCUUCUUCCUUGGGUCGCCGGACUGGUUUUUCCGGCGGCCGUUUUUCCGGGCAGUUUUUUCAAAUUGCCAUAACUUUGUCAUUUCUCAACGAAAUCAAGUGAUUCAAAAACGAAAGUUGUAGCCCUUGAAGAGACAAAGAGAAUGGUACCUUGCACAACACCUAGUUCGCCGUGGUUUGGCCGGAAACUGCCUCGAAAGCCUCGGAGGUCGCCGGAAACUGGGUAUUUUUCAAAUGAGUAUAACUUCUUCAAUACUCAACGAAAUUGAGUGAAACAAAAAGGAAAGUUGUAGUACUUGACGAGACGAAGAGAUUGAUACCUACCUCGACUCUUAACUCGCCGGGGAUUCGCCGGAAAAAGCCUCGAAAGCUCCGGCCAAACUUUGAACUUGUCGAUCUCAGUGUUCUUACGUCCAAAAACUUCCCACGAAGCACUCCGAGCUUCCUUGGGACCUCACUAAGCUCACUAUAAGCUUAGAAUUCCCUGAAACACAACAUUUUACGUUCACAUGAACAGUGACCAAAAAUGGAGGUUCGGGUUUCACAUGAUUCCGAAGGUUUCACUUCCUAAAACUAGUACCAAUGAACUCAGAAUGACGAAAGGAUGAAGAUGCAUACCUUAGUUGCCUCGAUCCGUCGAGUUUUGGAGGAUUUGGGUGUAUGCCGUACGUUUUGGGUGAGAGAGAGUGAGAGAGAAAGAGGAAGUCGUGAGGGAGGAGAGAGAAUGAACUGAGAGAGAGACAAGGUACGGGAAAGAGGGAGAAAAUUGAGGGGUGUGGGAUCCUACCCAAUCCCCAACUACAAAAUUCUAACAUAAAUUUAAAUCUAAGUCUCCACUCUACUUACCAAAUUUUAGGAGCUUAGAUAUAACGAACAUAAAAAUUAUACCUUAGCCACGUAUUAGGGGCAUUUUCGUAAUUUCACAUCCUCGGAAUUAAAAAUUCCGGGACGGGCUGUGACAAUCUUCCCUCCUUAUAGAAUUUCGUCCCCGAAAUUCCAACAACCAAUCCAAACAUCUACUCAUACCAACCUCGGUAAAUCUCUCUUAUCCGAUUCUCUUUCUCCCACGUAAUUUUCUUCCACUGAAUGAUUUCCUUCACAAAGCUUUUACCACUUACUCUGUCUUAAUUCUCAAGACUUUCUUUUUCCAAUCCAAAGUCGUCCUUGGUUCCUUAUCAAUUCGAAUCCAAUUUAAUUCUCAAUAGUUGCACCAGAAUCUCAUGUGACGAAUCUGCCACCUAGUGACAACGUAUCGAACCCAAAAUACAUUAAGUACCUUAGCCAACUCUGAAGACAUCACCACUUGUAUGCAACUUUAUUGAUUCCUUUAGUGAUCAAAAAUGGUCUGAUGUGUCUAAAUCUUAUUUUGUCUCCUUUCCAACCCGAAUUAUACUUUUCUAUGGUGAACACUUCGAAAAUAUAAAACCAUUUGUCUUAUACACUCGAUUAGUGGCAUAUCCCUCUGUUAAUCUCUUUUGCCUCAAUCUGCUGACCAAAUAAAACUGUCGAAUGGUAUGAUAAAUCUUAUUACUUUUGGAAUAUUACAGAAGUUAAACAAUGUACUUCGUCCAAAAUUGCUUACUUUAAAUCCUUAGCAUUAGGCACAUACUUUUUGUUUUCUUGUAUCCACAUACCAUUUGAUUCACGAAUCAUGUACUCAUUCUUUUUCCCUUCUUUCUCUGCCUUGGUUAAUUCUUAAAUUUCCUCGUCAAACAUUUAAGUUUCGAGUACGACCUUACCAAAUAGGCCUAACUUGAAAUUUAACAAGUAUAACUUCUUCUCGAUCUUUCAUUCUUAACUUUUCUUCCAUUGGUUUUCAAUCCACAAGAUGAUACUCUUGGCAAACGUGCCAGAUAUUAAUCUUACUGUAGUCUUCUCACCAAGUGCUUCAGCUAGAACAAAUUUUACGAUCACCUUGAUCGUACAAUCAUGUUCAUUAAGCAAUACAAUUCACUUUCGCUGCCUCAUAUCAAAAUCCUUCCAAGUAAUGGAUAUUGAAGACUUUUUGGAUUCGUAAAAAUCUUGCAUUCUUACCAAAUAUAUAAUGUCUCCAUAACUUCACAGUAAGAAUGGUAAUCAUGACUUCCAAGUCACUCGUAGGGUAAUUCAUCUCAUGAGGUUCCAUUUAUCAUGAAACGUAUGCAAUCACCCUAACAUUUGCAUCAACAUGCCUCCAAUACCAUUCAAGAAACAUCACUAAAAAUUUAUGAUUACCACUAUUCUCUGGGAAUACCAAAUUACGUGCAUGAGUGAGGAAAUACUUCAGUUGUUGAAUCAUUUGCUCACAAUUUCCUUCCCACUCAUACAUAACCUCUUUUCUCAACAGUCUCGUUAAUGACAAAGCAAUGACUAAAAAUUCUUUCACAACCAUCCAAAAUAGCCUGGUAAGCUAAGAAAUUCCAAAUCUCAAUUACGACUCGUGGUUGUUCCAAAUUCUCAAUUUCUGCUAUCUUUUAAGAAUUCAUUUGAAUACCUUAAGCAGAUAUAACCAAUCUCAGAAUGCCACUUGAUUCAUCCAACAUUCGCAUUUGCUAAACUUAGCAUACAACCAACGUUCUCUCAAUCUUUGCUUCACCGACUUAAUACGUUUACAUGCUCUGCUCUGGCUCAGAAUAUGCCAGAAUAUCUUCAAUGAAAAUGAUAUCAAUUUAUCAAGGCAUUAUUGGAAUACUUCAUCCAUCAACUCAUAAAACAGCAUGAGUAUCCAUAUAGCAUCACCAAACUUCAUAAAGACUAUAACAAGUCCAGAAAACCAUCUUAUGAUCAACGUCACUUAUAAUAUUCAAUUGGUAGAACCAGAUCUCAAUUCAAUCUUUGAAUCUUCGCAAUUACUUCUGAGCUGGUUAAAUAAACAUCAGUACAUCACCAUGGAUAACGGUUCUCAAUCGUUACCCGACUCCAUUGUCUAUAAUCAAUGAACAAUCUCAAGAUCCAUUUUUCUUCCUCACCAACAAACUGGGCUCCUCAAAAGUGUUGUACUAGGUUGAAUAAAACUUUUAUCAACCAAUUCUCUCAACUGAAUUUCCAAUUCCCUUAACUCAUCCUGAACCAAUCUCCAAUAUAAAUUUAUACCUGGCAACAAAUCAAUAAUGAACCUCAUAUCUCUGCCUGAAGGCAAUCCAGGUAUACUUUCAAGGAAGACAUCAAGAAAAGUCUAACUCUUUCGACAUUAUUCACACUACUCCAAACAACAUCAUUUAGCACCACAUGAGCUAAGUAUUUUUGACAGCCUUUCGAAAACAAUCUCUUUGCUCUCACAGCAUAAAUAACAGCCUGACUCAAUCCAUUUUGCAUACUUACAAAAGUAAUCUCUGUUCAUCCAUAUCGAUGGAAAGUACUGGUUUCCCGUAACAUUCCGUCUUGUCACAAUUAUAACCAACCAAUCUAAUGGAACAGAAUUAACUGAUACAAUAUAUAUUCUAUUAUUAUUAAGCAUUCUAAAUAAGUACAAUACUAACAUAAAAUAAUCUACCGGUUUGCUUGCUUAACGAAUCCACGAAUGAGUUAUUAAUAUUACGGUCUGCAGCCCGCAAUACUGAUAAAUCAUCGUUGUCUCGAUAAGUAGGCAACCACUCUCAAAGAUAUAACAUUACUAUUUUGUUACUCAAUGCAAAAUACAUACACUCGUCUCAACUACAUUUAUUUACUACUCUCUAGGUAAUAACAUACAUAAUAAGAAAUAUAUCAGCCGAAGUCAACUAGAAUGACCAAUACGGCUGAUUCAACUCUUAUCUCAAUAAUACGUCGGCCGGAUCCACUCCGCGUGGUCGGUAUGGCUGAGCCUAUAACUCACCAUUUCUCAUGUGUCAAUCGAAUCCACUUCUCAUGGUCUGUACGACUGAACAUAUAACUCAUCAAAUCUCUCUGUACUCACAGUCAAUCCGACCAAACUACUAAAUUCAUAAACUUGUUGAAUCAACACUAUGAUAUCAUGGAAAAUUGUUGAGUACAACUGAUUCUAGGGACGAUUCACAAUUCUGUGUCCCCUCUGUUCACAUAAACACAUUCAUUAAUUUCACAUUUCCCAAAGUGUUAAUUUUUUUUUUUUUUUUUUUUUUUUUUUUUUUUUUUUUUUUUUUUUUUUUUUUUUUUUUUUUUUUGUACCUGCUGCACAAGGUACAUUUCCUUUACUCGAGACACCUUGUCUCAAAUAUCUGGGAUUACCAGUAUAUCCAUCACUUUUACUCUGACCAGCGACAUUAAAACCUCAGCUGGAAGAAUUAACUCUAGCUUCACUUCUUUCGAAGCUCUGAAUCUUUCUAUAUCCUUGAUAUGACGAAUCAUUGACUUUAUCGUCUUCUUUUGAGUCUCAUUCAUUUCUUAUUCUUCUUUAUUCUCGUUGCUCAUGUUCUCAGAGUCCUCAAGACUCAACAGCAUCUCGCAUACUCCUGAUAAGAAUUACAAUGGAUAGUGGUCACCCAAAAUACCACUUCCCUUUUGCCACCCAGCCUAAAACAACAUAACACCUCCACCAAAUUCACAACAAUAUCUGGAUAGAACGAGGCAAGUCUGAAAACUUUCUAUAAUAUCCCUCGAUCAUCACCUUCCUUGUCUCAUAUUUGUAAACUCUUGUUUACCACCAUCGAUAAAUGCCGGAGGGAUAAACUUUUCCUUUAAACAAGUCCUUAAACAAUUCUCAAUCGACUGAUUCCUAUGGUGACAACAAUUCAUACUCCUGUUUCCACCAGGAUACAAAUUCAUAACCAAAACCAGGUAGUCGUCUCGACCCCUUGUCAGAAGGAAAUUUCCUUUGACUUGCAUAAUCUGAAACAUCUUUUCCAAUUGGUUAAACCGUUACUUCGCUCCCUCAGGUUCAUCAUUUCAUAAGGUGAUUCAAAUUCAACUCAUAACCCAUCUUAAAAUGUCCCUUUUUAUAAUAGACUGAAUCACCAUAAUAAUAGUUUUCCCUAAACCGCUAUAUUAGGGAGACUAAAUUCCUCUAACUACGUGGUUUGCUACGAGGCGGUGUAGUUCUGACAGAAUUCACUAUAAACUUCUCAAGAUGUCCAAGAUUGCAACCAUGCUCUGAUACCAACUGACAUACCCCAUCCCGAAGGAGGGCAUGCUGGCCGUCACGUGAGAGUGACGUAACCAUUUGCACAGUACGGAAGCUUUAAGAUACAAUUUAAGUUGAUACACCCGAAGGUGAGUCCUAAUUUUGUCCAAUCUGUCAGAACACCGUCGAAUUCCUCGUAGUCACCACACCUUUGUGAUUCCUGAACCUGGAGGGGCGCAAAACCAAAAUUGAGUGGGUCAGUAAAACAAUUCUUUUCCAAAUCCAAACAAUUUUCAAAACGUUGUAACCCCUCUCCGUAAAACCUGUAUAUUUUCCCAGAAAUGUAAAAUAUAAAUAUACAUAUAUAUUCUCAAAACUUCAAGUCGUUAACUCAACAUUUUCAUAACAAUUAUGCCAUGCCACAUCAUCUCAACAUUUCUCAUAUUAAUUAUGCCAUGCCACAUCAUCUCAACAGUAAUAAGGUAUGAAUGCAUCAACAUAAUCAUAUCAGGUGCAAGAAAGUAAUCAACCGUAGGCCCUCUAAUAGCCCUGUACGGUUGAACCUAGAGCUCAAAAUCUAUCAUUAUCACUCUACCGGAGUCACCUCUGUGACCCGUCCGGCCUUCUGCACACAAGUUACGCUCUAGUGCUUCUCAUAAGUCAUCUGUGCACAUAAUCUAAGGUCACCCACCAGUCGGAAUCUCACUAACACUCUCGCGACUGGUCUGUCGUACCCACUCCGCGUGGACUGUACGACUAGCAUCUACUUGGAUCCAAGGCGAGCGUGCGAUGCGGUGAAUACUAUAAGCACUAAACCAUGGUGCAGGAUUUGAGCUCAAUAUAUAUCAUCAUCAUAAUAACAGUAAUUAAAUUCUUACCUGUGCGUCCACCGCACCAAUUCAUACAUAUGCAUCAUAAAUCAAUUCUUACCUGUGCGUCCACCGCACCAAUUCAUACAUAUGCAUCAUAUAUUAAUUCAUGCAUGGCAUUUCAACUCACAUUUCUAUAUACUUUUCAUAUCAAUUCUAUGCAUGGUAUUUCACUUCCCGUUUUUCCACAUAACUCAUAUGCAUUUCAUUUUAAACAUAUUUUCAUUUCAAUUCAAUUUCUGGGAAACGUCAAGUAUAUAUAUAUACGGAAAACAAAACUGCCCACUCACCUGGAGUUCGCCCUACAACUCCCUAGCACAAUACGCCAAGGCGUCAUGACGAUCGCCGCCUAGAAUAGUAAUCAAAUCCAGGCUCAGAAUUCAUAUCGAUAAAAUAUAACUUAUAUAAAAUACGUCACUACGUAGUUCGAUCCGGAAGAUCUGCCACUCAGAUUUUAAAUCCAUAACUUCCAGAGGUCCACAAUAUAUCUCUAGGAUAACAUCCUAAAAUUUCAUUACCAUCCAACGGUUGGAUCUCCGUCAAUUUCCAAAACUAAGUGACGGUUAACAUUUUAUAUUAUGGACUUACAAUUCCAAUUCCGGAAGAUCCGUAACUCGGAUUCCCAAUCCGUAAGUUCCAAUAAUCCUCAAAUAUUACGUAUUACAACGUAUCAAAGUUUGGUGACAAUCCAACGGUCGGAUCAUCAAUUCACAUUUUCACCAAAACUAUAAAACGUUAUUCGAACACCUAACCAACAAUCCUUAAUAACUUUCUCAUACGGUGUUCAAUUUAGGUAUAUGAAUAUACCACAGUGAUCUACUCGACGUCACGGACGUCGACAUAUUUUUAAAAUAUUUUUAUUUUUAUUUUUUUAUUUUACUGUAGCACCAUCUUCUUCCUUGGGUCGCCGGACUGGUUUUUCCGGCGGCCGUUUUCCGGGCAGUUUUUCAAAUUGCCAUAACUUUGUCAUUUCUCAACGAAAUCAAGUGAUUCAAAAACGAAAGUUGUAGCCCUUGAAGAGACAAAGAGAAUGGUACCUUGCACAACACCUAGUUCGCCGUGGUUUGGCCGGAAACUGCCUCGAAAGCCUCGGAGGUCGCCGGAAACUGGGUAUUUUUCAAAUGAGUAUAACUUCUUCAAUACUCAACGAAAUUGAGUGAAACAAAAAGGAAAGUUGUAGUACUUGACGAGACGAAGAGAUUGAUACCUACCUCGACUCUUAACUCGCCGGGGAUUCGCCGGAAAAAGCCUCGAAAGCUCCGGCCAAACUUUGAACUUGUCGAUCUCAGUGUUCUUACGUCCAAAAACUUCCCACGAAGCACUCCGAGCUUCCUUGGGACCUCACUAAGCUCACUAUAAGCUUAGAAUUCCCUGAAACACAACAUUUUACGUUCACAUGAACAGUGACCAAAAAUGGAGGUUCGGGUUUCACAUGAUUCCGAAGGUUUCACUUCCUAAAACUAGUACCAAUGAACUCAGAAUGACGAAAGGAUGAAGAUGCAUACCUUAGUUGCCUCGAUCCGUCGAGUUUUGGAGGAUUUGGGUGUAUGCCGUACGUUUUGGGUGAGAGAGAGUGAGAGAGAAAGAGGAAGUCGUGAGGGAGGAGAGAGAAUGAACUGAGAGAGAGACAAGGUACGGGAAAGAGGGAGAAAAUUGAGGGGUGUGGGAUCCUACCCAAUCCCCAACUACAAAAUUCUAACAUAAAUUUAAAUCUAAGUCUCCACUCUACUUACCAAAUUUUAGGAGCUUAGAUAUAACGAACAUAAAAAUUAUACCUUAGCCACGUAUUAGGGGCAUUUUCGUAAUUUCACAUCCUCGGAAUUAAAAAUUCCGGGACGGGCUGUGACACUUAUAUAUAUUACACUAAUUUUCACAAGCUUCAAAAUUAUGGUCUUU